rnacentral:lncRNA from 1 species
ACAAACAUUUUUUAUAUCAAAGAAUAAAACAUAACAACAAACCUCCCAAUAAAAUUUAUUACAUAACAGACACAGUGACUCAUUAAACUGUAGGAUAGUUCAACAAUGUUAGUAACUAACAACAUAUGGUGUUUCCAUUAAUAUUAUAGGUGCGACAUUGUCCUACUAAAUAAAAAAUAGCAUAAAAAAACAUCUACAUUGCAAUCAUAUCAAAACACUACACUAAUUUAAAUCUUCUUCUUUAUGCGUCCAUCCUUCACCCAUGGGGAAAGCAGAACCCCACUUUUUACACGGUUUCUUGGCUUGUCCUUAAUUCUAGUUAAGAGAUUUGAUGCAUGAUGUGCUUCAUCAUAUGAUACAUUUGCCACCUCCCUUUCAAUAACUCUUUCAAUCUCAUCCAUGGAGACGUCCUCGUAAACACAUUCAUCAUUGAAGACACCUUCGUCCACAUAACUGGAUUGUGCACUACCGAAUAACUUCUUCAUCUCUCUAGUUUCCGAUUCAAGAAGAGAUAUCCUUGCGGCAAGUCGUUUGUUUGCUUCACCCAACAGGCGAUUGUUAACAAUUAACUGACUAAUAAUAAGAUCUGGUCUCCAUUUAAUAUAUCCACUUGGCGCUCGAUCUAACGCCUCCCUCACAACUUCAUUUGCAACCUCUUCUUUAGUUGCACUUAACUCUUCAAUAACCUGGCAAGGUUGAUACAAUAUAAAUAUUAAUGAACUAUUGACACCGCUUAAACCCUAUAUACAAAAUUCAUAUAGUUAAAUAUAAAUAAUAAUAUUUAUUCAACCUUAUCAAAUAAUUACCAAGCAAGUGUGAUAUAUUUUUGCCAACCAAACUAACACCACGCGCCUUCAUAAAUCGUGGAAACGUCAAUGGAGAAUCAUGAUAACUUCGUUCGUAUCCUAGUACAUGCUCUAGAGCCCAUACCUAUAUAUACAUAUAUAAUAUGACUAUUAUAAUUUAAUAAAAAUAAAUAAAUUAAAUUAAAUUGUUGCCAUAAAAUGACAUGAAGACAAAGAGUGGCCUACAAAACAAACACUCUUUCAUCUCCUAUAAAACUUCAUCCUAUGUCAUAUAGAGUUAUAAGUUGAUAUACUCAAAUUCAACGACAAUCAUCUGUAUUUAAAAGUGCUUACAAAUUAUUACUACAUUUUAAUAUGAGUUACACUUGUUUCAGUCACAGUUGCUAACAAGCUCUAAAUAUCAAUGAAUAAAAGAUAAAUUAUAAUCAUGUCACAAUAUGGCAUGAAGACAAAAAGUAAACAUCAAAUUAAAGUUAAACUUCACAAUUUUUUAUGUAACCCAACAUAACUUGAAAUCAAUACUCAAGGUCACAAUCAUAAUACAAUAUAAAGUAGAUGCAAAACUUUUAUAGAUAAAUGACGCAACAAGUAUAUAGCAGAAUUAGUAACAACCAACAUACAAUUCAUAACAAUUUCUUUUCAUUCAGAAAACAACAAUCAAGCCCACAACUAUUAAUUUAAUAUUCAAUCGCAAUUCGCACCAUCAUAAAAUAAGCUUAAACAUCAAGUCAAGAAAUCAUGAAGAAAAAGAAGCAACAUUAUGAGGAUAUAUCAACCUUAGAAUCCAAAAACUCAAACUCAAGAAACUCUUGUAAUAUAUAAUAUGUUACAUUUCAUUCUUGACAUAUAUAUUAUACUCUUCACAGAAGACAUAUAUGAUGACAAAGAGUGGCCUAUAAACGUAUAAAAUGAUCAUACAAUAACAUACCUGUAAUACAAAGAGGCGCUACUCGAUUUAAACUGCAAGCAAGAGUUUCAUAAACAGUGACACCCCAGUUGUAUCUCCCAAUGGAGUUCAAGUCGUCUAACAUUUUUAGGCACCAACCACUAACCUUAACACUUGAAUUUGGAAAGUAGAACUCGGAAAACCAAGAAGUAAAUAAAGUCGGCAAAACUUCUCAACAUCUUCGUCUCCUUCCAUAUUAAUAAUUUUAGCAUAAAUUAUUUUUACAUUGAUGACUUCAUUAUAAAACAUUGCUUUUGUAGUGGAGGUAGGGUCUUUUUUGAAGUUCACCUUUUCACGUAUUAUAUGAAGUCCUAAUGCAAAACAUACAUCUAAAGGUGUAAACCGUAUUAUCCGACCUUGUAUAGCAAACCCCCACUCCUAUCAUCCCAUCUUUCUACCAAUUCUUCAAGAAAAUUUUCGGAUAUUUUUAAUUUCUUAGGCAAACUCAAUAACCAUUUAAAUGGUGUUUUCUGAAUUUGAAACCUUUGAAGUUCAGUAAGCUUGUCGUUGACUUUAGUAAUAUACUUCGACUUACAUUCAUGCCUGAGACGUAACUGUAAUAAACAAGAAUUCCAAAGGCGACAUAUAAGGAAAGACAUUAACAAAAACACAAAACACUAAUGAAAUCAAACAAACUAAUUGACAUUCAUCACAUACACAUACCAUUUUGUUGGCUAGACAAUGCUAGAAUUACCACGGGAACAGAUGCAAUUAUUAUUAGUGGUUGAGAAGACUACAACAGAUGCGAUUGUUAUUGUCAAUCAAGUGAAUUGUUACUGUAAAAAUAAAAUAAAAAAUAUAAAGGCGUGUCAUCUUCAUAACUUAAUUCACAACUUAGAUAAUUUAGUUUAUCGUCAAAUGCAAUCUUAAAAUUAUCUAGUUUACUGUCAAAUGCAAUCUUGAAUAAUUUAGUUCACAUCCAUUACUAUUAUGUCUAGCUUUUAUCUGAAUAAACGACCAUGUAAUUUUGUCUAUGAAUAUUAAGAAUUGACUUAUGAAUAUCAAUGAAUGACUUGCUUCAAAUGUCUUUGAAAAUUGAAUUGUUGAAUUUGAGAUUCAGAUUUUAUUAAAUUGGAUUCAACUAGUUCGAUAUUUACUUAAUGAUGAAUAUGAUAAAAAAUAGUUUCAAGGAAAAAAAAAUUACUCUCGUGCAUUACAUCAGAAACAACCAAACAAGAGAACCAAAUCAAAAUACUCAUCACCAACUCAAAAAUAAUCGAGUUUGAAAGUAGGUAAAAUAACAAACCAAAACGUCACAAUAUAAAGACAUAAUAAGAAGCCAACAAAACAGGACAAGAAUUGCCUGGAGUCAUCAUUUCCUACAUUCAGCAAGUAAGCAGAAUCAUCAUUAAGUAAAUAUCAAACCAGUUGAAUCCAAUUUAAAAAAUGUGAAUCUCAAUUUCAACAAUUCAAUUUUCAUAGACAAUUGAAGCAAGUCAUGCAUUGAUAUUCAUAAGUCAAUUCUUAAUAUUCAUAAAAAAAUUACAUGGUCAUUCAUUCAGAUAAAAGCUAGACAUAAUAGUAAUUUGCCUAAGUAUUAUAAUUUAGAAUCUAGUAAUUCUCCUGCGAUCUUGGUUCACUCCGUGAAAACGGUAUCUGUGGCUGCCGUGACCGUUUUGUAACGGCGAAAUCGCACUACAGGACCGUUUUUUAAAACCUUUUUUGUUAAUAACUAUGUCUGCUACUAUAUAAUAUAUGUUUGUUAUUUUUGCUUUUCAUACACCAAAUUGUUUUAAAAAAUCAAUUUCUAACAUACAGUUUUCUUUAAUAAUUGAACUCUAUGAAUUUACCAAGAGACUAAACCAAGCUUCAAAGACUGUCAACAAACUUUAUCACUCAAUAAAACAUUGAAAGAAAUAGUUAAAUCUGUUUCAAAGAAAUGCUUACAUAAAUUAGAUUUCAGCGAGGAGCAAAGAACAUUAGAUUACCCAAGAUCUCAGUCAAGACCUUACAUAAAUCACAAAAUGUAACAGCCAAGAGGAAGAGGAAUAUGGAAGAAAAUACCUGAGUUGAAAAAGGAACACUGUGAAAGAGAUCGUCGGAGAUGGAGCAGGAGACGGCGGCUAGCGGCUAGGGUUGAAUGGAAGAUGGAGCAGGAGACGGCGACGCGCGGCUAGGGUUGAACGGAAUGAAGGGUGUGGCGGAAUGAAUGGUGGUGGCGGAAUGAAGGGGGGAAUGGAUGGAACUAGGGUGAAAGAGAAAUGUUCCACCGAAUGAAUUGAAAUGAUAAAGGGUACGGCUAAAAUUUUAUUUUUUUUGUCAUCUUUGAUUUUUUUUGUGACAUGAAAUUGAUUGAUUUUUUUAUUAUUAAUUGUAUUGCCACAUAAGGGUGGUAUAAGGUGUAUUGCCACCUAUGGUGGUAUACCUAUCACUCUUCUAUGAAAUAAAUUUAGCAAGGAUCCAUAUCCCCCUUCGUCAUUAUGACAACAAUUUUGUUUUCAUGUAUGAUAUGUAUUUUGUUAUGAUCAGUUGUAGAGCCUCAUAUAAAAUCUUUGCAUACUUUUUCCGUCGUGUGCGACAUAAAGUGACGCUAUUAUUCUACUUGGUUAAAUUACAUAACCAAGAUUACUAGUGUGAAGGUGAGAGAAAACACAAGAAGGGGGGUUGAAUUGUGUUGGAUUUUUCUUCUUUUUCUCCUAAGCCGAAAACACUGAUCAGAAGCAGAUAAAGUUCUAAUUCUGAAGUGAUCUUCAGGACUAGAUGCAGCGGAUAAAACAGAGAGAGAGAAAAGAAAGAUACAAAGCAAUUAUACAUGUUCCUUCCACAAACCGGAAGUCAGUCAUGUCCCCCUUGCACUUCCAAGGAGAGUUCACUAUGUAAUAUCUGAUUACAAUUGCUCACUGCUAAAACCAUCAAGAGACUUCAAAUGUUCAAGCACAACUACAAGAGACUUCCUAUGCUCCUGAACACAAUCAAGAGACUUCUAAUGCUCAAGCACAACUGCAAGAGACUUCUUAAUUCAAACAGAAUUACAAAGAAAAAUGUUUGAGGUUGAACACUUGAUAUACAAUAUGUGGUGUUCACAAUACAAAUCAGAUACAGACUCUUAAGACUCUAGAAUUUCUAAGAUAUGAAAGUUGAUAAGAAGUUCUAAGUGAAAUUUUGAAUGCAGAACAAUUUCAGUGGAUUUUUGGCAUUUUUUAAAUUGUUGUUGAGUCUUUUUUCAUGCAUUGUCAUUCUCUUAUUCUUCACUCAUUUAUAUAGAGGUGUGAAAGAGACGUUGUGAAUUGCCAGCACAUCAAAACAAAGUCGUUUGAAGAUUUGAUCAAUUUCAAUUUCAAUUUUGCAUGAUAUGGUUAUUGUCCUAUGAAGGAUCAAUUUCAAAUCCAUUCCAAUUGAGAGGGAACAUCGUUGCAGGCAGAGCUGUUUUUCUUGUCUUGUAGCAGAGACAAAAACAGAGUAGUGGUUGUACACUUCGUACAAUUGUACUUUGUCAACGCUCUUUGAAGAACAAACAUCCAAUGCCUUCAAAUCAUUUCAAAAUAGUUGUUGCUUCACUCUUCCAGUCUUCUUCAUUGUUUAGACGAGAUUAAAUCCAUUGAACAACCUUUGAAGCUUUAAGUCUUGCAUCUAAUGAGAUGCUUCUGAUGAACUUGCUUCUGAUGACGUCAUCACUUCAGGAGCACUUUUACUUCAGGAGCACUUCUCUUCAGGAGCACUUCAAGCUUCCUUUUUGUUGAUUCCAUUGCUCUCUUUUGUUCUUCCAGAACCUUUUAAGAUAACAAAUUUUUGUCUAUGAUCCUGUACACUUGAGCAAAUAUUAGCGUAUCCAGUUGACAAUUUUAAUACCUUGUUAUCAUCAAAACUCUUAAAGGGUAAUGUUAAACAUAUUUUAUUCCAACAUAGUGAAGGAAGAUUAGACCAAAGUAAACCGUCCAACAAAAGAUAGAGAAUUUUCCUUCAAGACCGACAACUUUCCCAUUUUAUUAAGAAUUAAUUCAUAGUAGAUUUAAAAGCUCUUUGAUAGGAAAUGGCACACCUAAAUACAUUAUAAUAUCCUUGGUAAUAUGGAUUCCCAAAUAUUUUCUCAAGUUAUUAUCAAGAUCUCUUAAGACAUUGAUAGAGAAGAAGACCUUAGAUUUAUGAAGAUUAAGUUUUUUGCCUGAAUCGUCACAAAAUUCUUUCAAAUCUGAAUAAAUCAAAACAAUCUGGUCAAAAAAGGGAAAGGCCCCCGAUAACUAAAACAAGAAUGUUAAAAGUCCCACUUUGGUUGAAAGCUGCUUUGAACAAGUGUUUAUAAGUCUGGACAAUCUUACCUCAAAAGUCGGUUUUAAGGGGUUGUGUUAAGACCAACCACAAAUUCUAAGAUGAUAUCACAUCCUCCUUUAAGAUCUAUUGGGCCACUUGCUCUCAGAAAACCAUUACCAACCACCAACCAUUUAUAUCUACGCACCAAGUCCAAUAAUGUUGGGUGUAUAAAGGUGUAUUAAAGAGUCCCACAUUGCUCCAGCCAGCGGUAGUUAGCUGCUACUACGUUCCUGGUUCAAUUUCCAGCAGCUUUCUCCUUCCAUUUUUCCCCACAUUUGUCCAUGUUUUAUACAUACCAUUUUGAACAAAUUUUUUCACUCUUUUUCAUCCAAUUGCAAAUUCAUCAAUAUAAAAGGUACGAAAAUAAUAUUUAACAAGAUAAAAAUAAAACACAAGAAAUAAUAUAAAAGGUAUGAAAAUGUCAUAGAAAUACGAAAAUGUCACAAGGUACGAAAAUGUAAUAAUAAUACAUCAUCAUCAUCAUAGUCAAACUGUACAUAAAAAAACCUAAUGAUAAUCAACCCUACUGCCUAUGGUGCCUAUGCCCCCUGCGCUGCCUGGCAAUCCGAUACAUAAGGGCAGGGCGACUAGUACUAUCAAUCCAAAUCAUCUCCUGCACCAGCUCCGCUUUAGUCAUCUCGGCACUCAUAGCCACAACAUUAUCAGCUAUCUGCACGACAUCCCUGAUGAUCGUAAGUGUGUCAGGCAUCUCUCUAGUAUAGGGAUGUAAAUGGAUAUCCAUGGAUGCGGAUAGUGUGAUAUAUGUGUCCGCUCCGUUAGAUAAAUAUGAAAUCCGUACCCUAUCCAUAUCCGCGCGGAUAUCCAUUUAGCGGGUAAUCUGCGGAUUUUGAGAUAUCUGCAGGUUUAUACAGAUAUCCAUGGAUAACAUUUAUAAAAAUAAAUUAAAAAAUUUGUUUAAUUUUUUUUAGCUAAAAUUUAGAAACAAAGGUUCUUGAUAUGCAUUUUCUUUUAUUUUUAGUAAAACAUAAUAUUCAUACAUUACAAUAACAACAAAGAUCACUGACUUAACAAAAAUAUAAAUAAUGUCACUUACAUUAAAUAAAAAUAAAGUUCUUUAAUUUAACAAAAGCAUAAGUAAAGUUCAUCAUAUUCAACAAAAACAAAGCUCUUGCUUCAACAUUCCCAGCCACUUCAUUUCCAAGGAGCGUAAUACUCCUUCCGGUCCUAUUUACAAGAAACGAUUUACUUUUUAUUUACAUUAAAUAAUUUAUGAAUUUGAUUUAGGUUCUUGACUAAAUACAUACAUUCUUCAAUGUAUCUAAAAAGUCAACUUUCUCUUGUAAAUAGAACCGGAGGAAGUAACUAAUAACACUCACAAUACCUAGGGUGUUUUCUUAGGAAGUUGAAUGAUAUUGAGGUUAUUAAUGUAAUUUACUCGGUUUAAUAGCGGGUAUGGAUAUCCGCGGGUGUGGAUACCAUUAAAUCUGUAUCCAUAUCCAUUAAUUAGCGAGUAGUUAAAAAAUCCGUUUAUUUUAUCCAUGGAUAUCUAUUAAUGUAUCUGCUCCGUGCCCGUGGCGGAUUUUAUCUACGGGUGCAAAUUUUUUUGCCAUCCCUGCUCUGGUAUGCUCCUCCUCUAUAAGCUGCUCCCGGUUCGCCGGCCUGGGACGAGAUCCUUCAUCAGGUGGGAUAAUCCGAGGGUGAGAGACUUUGGCAUACCCAAGCCAUGCAGACAGGCUGAUGCUCCCACACUCUCUGACACCUCUAUCCCCAAUCAGUGUAGAACCACAGACUGGGGUCUAUCAAUACAAUAGCCAACAUCUCCUUAGGCAUCUCAGGGACAUCUGACGGAUGUCUGGGGAUGUCCUGUAUAAAGCCAAGCUACCUCUUAACUCGCUCAGGUAAAUGACGGUACAUCCUCUCCUUCUCGCACAUCAGCCAUCCCGAGUAAGUGACAAUAAGCUGAAAAGGGUGCAUCUCUCUUUGAUCAUCAUAUAUAGACCACCUCACAUCAUCCACCUCUAAGCGAUCCAGCCGUGAGCGGUAAUGGUGCACAACUGUAUGCCCUCUGGUAGCAAGCCAUCUCCCCGCACAUGGUCUCUCCGACUUCCAGCUCUUGUUUUUCUUCCUUGGGUACGAACCUAGAAAAUGCUCCAAAAUCCAUCCCUAAAAAAAAAUAAAAAAUAAUACACAAAAAUAAAUAUUCGAAUUAAAUAUCAAAUAAAUCUAACAAAAUAAUAAAUAAAUUAUAAAAAAUUCACAAAAAUAUUAAAAUAAAAUCCUAAAUAAAUGUAGUCGAACUUAGGAAAAAAAAUCUAACAUGAUGAUAAAAAUUAUAAAAUAAAUUCAUAAAUAAAUGAAGAUAAAUAUUAAAUAAUUACCAUAAGAAGGGUCACACAACCAGCUAUCGUCUUGUUACACAGACGAACAUAAUCAUAAAGAUAAUCAUAUAGGUAAGCUAAGGUCAUCCCUCCCCAUGACCACUUCCAAAUAGCAUUCAAGUCUGUCAUACAAUCAAGAUAUACCAAGUCAAUUUGUCUGUUCGUUUUGUUAGUGAACAACGCACUACCAACGAGAUAUAAAAGAAAACUCCUCACACACCAACUCCUCCUCCUAUUUCUCUCCAGCAUUUCCUCCCUCGUUUGUGGGUUCUCCAGCCGUCUAGCCUCUGUCAGGUGGGAUUCAUAAAGCCGCUUCAGUGCGGUAUAACUAAUAUGAGCACCAUACUCACUCUUUGCCGCAACACGAGCAACAACAUCUGACAUGCCCAACAACCUAGUCAUCUGUGUAAUCCCAUGUGCCCGAUCCACUACCGUGUGAUGGUCCAGCAUGCGGCCCUGAAUAGGAAGGUGGAGGAGAUUAGACACAUCGUCCAAAGUGGUCGUCAUCUUCCCCACAGGUUGAUGAAAACUACUAGUCUCCGUGUGCUACCUAUCGCACAUAGCAUGUAUCAUGGCAUGGGUCACACUCGAAUACCUGGUGUAUAUGAGAUCAUGUAAGCCAGACGCCUCCACAAGAUCCCAAAACCACCUCAAAUCCUCCUCCGGCUUAGAAAGCUCUCUCACCUUUCUCCUUGAAUUUAUACUGCGAUACUUUUGAUCAUACCACAUCUGAAAAUCAAAUCAAUUAAGACAUUAUCAAUUAAGACCUUUCUCCAAGGCUCGACCUGAAUUAUUUUUAUUUUGAAUAAGUAGUUUAAGAAAUUGAUAUUGAAAGUUUGCUACUAUUUAUUUUUGAAUGAAAUGAUUAUAAUUAUUUUGAAUAGUUUAAUUAGCCUUGCAUUGGUUAGCAUAACAUUAUUUUUGUUGUACAACAAAAUAUAAUUUUGUUGCAUGUGGAUUAUCAAAAUUUCUUUUUUGUGUUAACUAUCCAGUUGAAUAAAAAUGUAAACAGGGUCUGAGUACGAAAAUGUUACACUCAGUAGAUAUUUUCUCACUUGAGUCAAAUAACAUGUUAUAAAUAAAAGAUAUUUUGUUAUUUAGUUAUAAAAACAAUUGACUUCAAUUAAUUUUUUUAUAAACUUGAUUUAGAAUCUGAAUUAAAUUUUAAUUACUAGUUAAGUCUUGUCAUUAAAAAAAUUUCUAAAGAAAAAAAGUCUUGUCAUUAAAAAUUGUUUUAAUAACUUGUAUGUAUGUUUUUUUUUUAAGGAAGAACCGUUUGUAUGUUAAGUACAAUGGAAUCCUGGUGUUAUUUUUUUUUUUAAGAGAUAGGAGACAGUCAUGUGGACUUAGGCAUUUGGUGGGUUCUCAAAUGUAUGAAUAAGGGAGGGGAUAGGAGAUAUGAGAUAUGAGAUAGAAGAUGCCCUUUCUAUUUGUUAUUCUAAUUUUUUUAAUUCUUUUAAUCAAAGAUAUUUAUGUAAAGCGAUUCAUAUUUUCUAUUUUCCAUCCAAUAUUAAUUAUAUUUCUUUAUUUUGUGUGAAAUUACUGACAAAUACUCUUAAAAUUGAUGGAUCGAGUAAUAUUUGGUGAAGAUUUGCUUUGCAAUAAUAAUUUUUUUGUCAAGUAGUUCCGUGGUAGAAUUUCACUUUUAAGGUGAAUAAGUGAGAAAUUAGAAGUUAGAACCUCAGUCCCUAACAUAUAUAUAUAUAUAUAUAUUUUUUAAAUCAGUCCCUAACAACUUAGCUAUGUCCACUUUGUAAUAAAUUUUUUAAUGAUUUUUUUUUUUUUUUUAUGGUGGCAGGGGUUCGAACCCCAGACCUUGCAUAUAUUAUGCAUUGUCCCUAAAAACUGAGUUAAACUCACGAUGACUUGGUUUGAAUAAUUGGCAUCGAGAAUUUAUCAAUUACAAUUAAUUACGUUACCCUUUUUGCUGAGUGGAAUUGAUUACGUUUCCCUCUGUUCAUAGCGUAGUUUCCAAAUCUUAUUCUACUGGUUUUAAUUUUCCAGCAGAGAUUAUUGAACUAGUUUUUGUUUUGCUGGGUUAUUACACUUGUAAUCAGUAAUCACAAAAUCAAAACUUUCUUAUUUAAAAUCCAAAUUUCAAUAAUGGCAUAAAAAUAAUACACGCUUAAAUAUAUACUUUCUUCUAAUACUACAAUUUACGUGCUAGGAUGCGAAAUCUACGUAAGUCUCUUUUGGAAAUUAGGCAAAAUAUACGUAAGAAUAUAUUCAGCUGCUAUAUAUAUAUACACAUAUCUGCAACAAACUUGUUUUUCAUUGUACUCUUUCUCUCUAUACCACUCACACAAACCUAAACCUAAACCUAAACCUUCUUUCAGGUCGAUUAACAAUGACUAAGGGAGACUGUGAUAAAAACCCAUCACACUCCUCCUCCACUGUUUCCAUCAAGCUAGAAACAACGGACUCUCCUCGCUCUGAUCAUUCAGAGUACUCGGAAUCUUCCUCCAUAGACAUCAUUGAUGAUGGUAUCAAUCGUCCAGGAUACUGCCGGCGUCCUUGGAGGUAUCAAUCUAGUAAUGUUGAAGAAAAAGGUUUAGGUUAUGAUAAUGGAGAUGAUAAAUGUAUUUGCUGGGGUUGUCAUGGAAUCUCUUCUUUCUGUUUUUAUUUCUCUGCUGUAUUUGCUGCGGUUGUCAUUCCCUUGUUGGUUAUUUGGGCUGUAAGUAGACAAAAACCUGACCUAUUCCUCGAGGUAUGAUAUUCUACUUUUCCUUGUUUGAAAUAUAUUUGUGUUUGAUGUAAUAUUACAUGUAUCUAAUAAUUUGGAAAUUAUAUUAUUUCAUGUAAUGUUUAGUAUUGUUUUUACUGCUUCUGUCAAAAAAAAGAAACAUUGUUUUUAUUGCUGGUUUUUGUUUUCAAAGCAAAAUACAAAUUAAGUGAAAUUUCACUUCUUUUUUUUCCCCAAUAAUUAUAUGUGACAUCCAAUCUUCUGUUUAGUUUUUAUUGUUAUUUGUUUUGUUUAUGAUGCAAAAUAUGCACAUUUACCUGAUGAAGUUUAAGGUCAAUUUUCUUCAAUAUAAGUGGUAUUCCUCCUUUGUUUCGUUUGUAUUAUAUUAAUUGUUGAUUUAAAAUUAAUCAUAUGAAUUUUAAAUUUGAUUUUUUGGUAGAAAAAUCAGAGAGGGAGAGAGACAAAUAGGGUUGUAUGGGAGUGUGCUCCUCCUCAAGGUCUCAAUACGAUUCUCUCCGAUGUCAAAUAGGGCUGGUUAAUUUAGGUUCUUAAAAAAAUAAAAAAAAAGAUAUGGCCGUCUCCGACAAUUCGGAGGUCAAGUUGUAAUCUUGACAAUUUUAAUUAUAAUAGUAUUGAAAAAUAAAUAAAUUCAACACCACCUAGAGUGACAAACAUUUACGCUCAUUAACCUACAGACAAUGUUUAAUUUACAGUAAAAUAGUUGAAUUAGUGACGGACUUUGUCCAUUGGUACACGUUUUUUUUUUCUUCCUUUUUUUUCAAAUUUUUUGGCCCCUUUAAGUUUGAGUCCCAUGUCACGGGCCUUGAUGCACUUGCACAAGACCAGCUCUGGUUGUAGGUAAGAAUGUCAACUUGAACUGCUUAAAGUUGGCGACAAACUUUUUGAAUUGUAAAGUUCAUAUUUUUCCUUUUAUUUAUCAUCUUGUGGUGGGGAAUAAUGUUUGGGAGGAAUCUACUUGGAGUUUUGGGGUUGGAUUGUUGUGAUUAAUUCCGAUUUUCUAUAUGCCUCUCUUUAAAAUGUCAAAGGGUGUGUGGAGAAAAAUUGGCAAGGGGUGGUGGAGUCCAAAAUUUGACGAGUCCAGUGGAAAAAAAUACGUAUGAAGGCUAUUUGAGGUUCAGGGGUAAAAUACUUAAGAAGUUUAUCUAACUUUGUUAUCUAAGUGGAGGUGGUUCCUCAUUUUAGAGGGAAUACCUCCAUCGAAAAUCUAAACCCUUGAAUGUUUUCUCUCUCUCUCUCUUGCUUUAAAUAUUAAAUAUGGUUAGGAUUUCACUAGAUCUCUCCAUUCACGGGAAAGAAUCCAUUCCUCAUUUUAGACAGGGAACCAUUUUGGAAGAAGAUUUUGGUUGCUAAAUACGAGGGGGUGUUGGUUUCCAUCGGCGCCUCUUGCUUGAAAUUGAACAGUGUAUCACUCUUUGUGGUGGAGGGACUUGAUUUAUGUGGGAAAAUGUAGUGUUUUACCCGGUGAUUGGUUUAACGAUAUAGUUAGGCAGAAGGUAGGGAAUGACGGGAGAACUAGUUUUUGGGAGCAUAUGUGGGUUGGAGAUACCUCUCUUCGACAUAUUUUCCCGAGGCUUUUUACUUUGUCGGAGAAAAAGGAAUGUUGCACUUAUCUCAAAUUGUACUUAUCCUUUUGUUUGUUUAAUUUUUGGCAGAGUAUAACAUUUGAUAGAUAUUCUAUUGAAGAGGGCAUCGAUCACUAUGGAUUUAACACUUCCAUGGUGACCACAAAUUCCUCUUUGAAACUGACUUUUACAAAUACUGCAACAUUUUCUGGAAUUCAUGUUACAUCAAUUCCAUUGGAGAUGAAAAAUUACAAUCAACUUCCAAUAGCCACCGGAAAUGUAAGUAUAAAUCUAUUUAUAUGUUUUUUAUUUGAACGACAAAUAUAUAAUUUUAUUCAUCCUAAAAAAAAAUUUAAUGUAAUUUUAUUCAAACCCUAAGGAGAAAAGUAGAAGAGUACAGUGCAUAUGUUUUUUUUCUUUAAUCUAUUUGAUCAUCAUCUACAAAUAUAUUAUGCUUAAAUAUGUUUUAAUCUUUAUAAAAUCACGAUCUUUUAAGUUUGGGUUAUGAAUAAUUUAAAUUCACUUUAGUCUUUAUAUUUUUAAGAUUAUAUUUUUGCAGAUACCUAAUUUUUAUCAACGAAGAAAAAGUGCGAGAUCUAUUGACGUGAAGGUUGAAGGAAGUCAAAUUCCAGUGCAUAUAGCACCAGAUGAUUAUGUUUUAGGUGAAUCAAUACCUUUGACAUUGAACAUGAUAGUGAAUUCAAAGGCUAAUGUGUUAUGGAUAUUGGUGACACACAAGUUCAACAUGAAUAUAGAGUGUUCUUUAUAUAUGGAUACAAAGAAGAUGGGUGUGCCCAUUCCUCUAACCAAUACAUGCAAAACUUUCGAUUAGUAAUUAAUGUCUCCCUCAUGAAUAUUGAUGGUAUAAUUUCCUUUUUGUUUUUUUAAAGCAUUUUAUUGAAUUAUGAUGGUAUUUGCUAUCCACGGUUAUAGUAUUAGAAUAAAUAUGACUUUGAUACAUUAAUAGAAGUGGUUUAUUUGCUAACUUUCAGGUUGUAAGGUAUUGAAUUUGUAUUGAGGUUGCGUUGAGAAUUUGAUAUGCUUUGUUUGUAUUUGUCAUAUUUUGUGCCGUUUUCUCUUUUUUAAUAAAAUUUUAUUUGGGUUUUAAAAAAAAAGAAAAAGAAAAGACUUAUGAUUUUGAUAAUAUUUAAAUUUUCCUUAAAUUUUAAAGGGUCUUGUUAAAACUGAUUUGAUGUUAAUGUAUCAUAGAGGGCUUGCCACUUUCAAAUAUGCAAAUGUAGUCGGGUUAAUCUAUGUUGCACUGUUUGACUCAUUUAUUAAGCUUUGUUUCGUUCAAACGAGUGGAGGGGAGGAUAGGGAUUUUAAGGAAGGAGAAUAAUUUAAGUAAAUCAAGCUUUCGAUCCUUCAUUUAUUGCUUGUUACUGAGUUUGAAAACGAUAAGAUUAUAUUAGAAAACAGAACUUAAACAAAAUAGAUAUUUAGACUUGGUUUGAAUAGGAUUAAGUCAUUAGAGAUUAGACUAUUCCAACAAUCACAAAACUAAAAGGUCUACUCACUCAUGAUCAUAGUAGACAAAAGAUUAAAGUCGAAAAACAUAGAAAUAAAUUUCAUAAUUGUAAAUGACUGAAUGUAAAUUGCAGAAUAUAUAAAGAACAAGAUUGUAAAGUGCAGAAAAAGCAAUAAUAAACUUAGAGCAAAGUAACUUUGUUUCAAUAGUAAACAUGUUUCCAAUGAUCCAAGAUGAUUUGCAGUCUAAUAAUGAACCUAUUUAUAGUCUAAGGGUCAUAGACAAUGCAUUGAAGGUCAAUUACAAGCUUUAAAAUGGGGAAAACAAAGAGUUUUUUAACAGCCAAAAGCUAACAGCAAAAACGCACGGUCUGCGCUUUAGAUCGUGCAUUUUUCAACUUCCAGCAUGCAGGGCGUGCACGACCCCCAGCAAGCUCACACGCCAAAAUGCAUAGUCAUGCUCUAAAGUGCACGACCCGUGCCAAAGUUGCUGAAAUAUUCUUCUUUGAUGCGCACGUUCUGCUUGUUUGGGCCCCAAAACGCACGGUCCUAUGAUAAAAACGCAUAGACCGUGCUCUUGUUUAUGUUUUGUUCCUUUUCUUCAUGCCUUUUCUUUCUUUUCUUGCCCAAACUUCAACCAAACCAUCUUGUUUCUUUGAUAUUCAACCUGAAAUGAAACUAUAGUGUCUGUAGCAAAAUAGCUCAAGAAAUACGACCAAAACCAACAAAAUUUUAUUGAAUUAAAAUGCCAAAAACAAUAAAAACUACGGCUUAUCAAGUUUCAUAAUUUAUAUUAGUAAUAAAAUAUGUAAUUCAUUUGUUAUAAAAAAAUAAAAAAUAGUUUCAUAAUUUAUAUUUGUGUAGUAAAAUAUGUAAUUCAUUUUUUUAAAGUAUCCAUUCGAGCUUUUUAAUCAAACUUUGCAAUUUCAACUUUAUGUUUAAUUAUUACAACUUUAUUUUUUUUGUUAUUAUAUAUAGUCUAUUUUGGUGGACCACGUGAGUUUUUAUGUUUUUGGUUCCGCCGUUGGUUGUUGUCACGUGACCGAAAAGUCGGGUUCAAGUCCUAGAAAUAGUCUUUUGUAUAAAAACUAGGGUAGGGUUGCAUACAAUAUAUCAAAAUGGUAAGACUCCUUCCCUAAGAAAGGCCCAACUUGGCCGAAUAGUUGCAUGCAUGUGAUAUUAAAUGUGUGGUGUUAUAAAGUAAUUUUCUACGUGAAUAAUAUGAUACCUAUAUGUGACUAUUAUUUGACAGGACUUAUCACCUCAUUUAAUAUAUAUUAAGAUUAUCUAGUAAUUGCGGUUGAGUCGGUUGAAACAAUAAUGUUGCCCAAGUAACCUCUGUUGCGUAGAUUCGACUCAAUUAAAGUUACAAAAGAUAGUGUGUAAUUAUUUAUGCGAGUUGUCGUCGGCCCCAAGGAAGGCACAACUUGGCCGAAUAGUUACAUACCUGUGAUGGUAAAUAUGUGGUGAUUAUAACGUAAUUAUCCAUGUGGAUAAUAGGAUGCCCAAACGUGACUAUUAUUUCACAGGACUUAUCACCAAUAUUUGAUCAUUACAUUGAGAGUAUCGCUUGCAGUUAAUUCUUAGCAAUCCGAAGAUUAUGUUUUAAUGGUGCGCUUGGUAUCUUGUUAAGGUCUUUUAUUUACAAAUAAAGAAGCACAUUUCUUUAAUAUUUUACUAACAUGUGUGAUGAUGUUGUGUUAGUGUAAACUUAUUUAAAUAUUUAAGAGUUUACAUUCACAUAUAUAAUGAUAAACAUAUGACAAUUAUAAGAAAUUAUUCUUUGUCAAAGUAAAUUGUCAUUGUUUGGUCAUUGUUGUAAAAUACCACUAGCAAUUGAUAUUAUCGUUUAAAGACUUGAUAUUGAUGAUGCACUAGGUAUUUUGGUGAGUAUAUUUGCCUACUCUUGUUCUCUUUAAGCUAAUAUAAUUGUGUAUCUACUAAUUUGAGUUAAAUUUUUAACUCUUAAAAUUCUAAUUUUUAGGAUUUAAAGAAGAACAUUGAUAUUGUUCUUGGAUCUAGACUUUAGAUAAGGAUGGUGAAACUCACAUUCUCUCACAAAUUCAGUACCUAAUGUGAGAAUCAAGUUUGACAAGUGAGUAUACCCCAAAUUUCAUAGGUCAAGUGUGAUCAUAAAGCUAAAAUAUCAUAUAUAUUAGAGGUGUUGUUUAAGAUGACUAUUUUUUUUGUCAUAUUUCCUUUGCUUAAACUAAGGUACUAUUGAAGCAAUACAAAGAAAGACAAACUCUCAUUGGAGAGUGAGUAUUCUAUUAAGAUUAUUAGGUCAAGAAAAUGUAAGAAGCACAUUAUGUAAAUAUUUAAUCUUGCUAAGACAGUAUAAUUUCGACUAUCUAUCACUUGUUCGAAAAUUCAGUAAUUUCGACUAGCAUAUGACUUGUUCGACAAUUCAGUAUUUAAUAUUCUCUUUGCACAAUUAAGUUUAUAACUGUUACAAUUAGAAAUGAUCAUUUAAAUGAUCAAUUCAUAAAGUGUGCGAAUAAGGAAACAUUGAAGCAAGAGAAAAUAAAAUAGUGCUCAUUCGGAAAAUACCUCGAAAGAUAAGGGCAAAUGAAGAAUGGUAAUCUUGACUGACUUAUGUCCAAUGAUGUUGAAAGAUAUGUCAAUUAAAAAUGGACAAAGUCGAUAAAGAUUUCAUUAUUCAUUUUUAAACCAAUUUUAGAUUGUCGUUACUAUCAUUUUUUUUUUUAUUUAAAAGAUAAUUUGGUGAAUCAUUUAUUUGAAUUAAUUUUUGUUUUAAUUUCUCUUUGAUGAAAUCAAUAUAUUUUGAGUUUUAUUUUCAAAUGAUGAUUCCAUAUGUCUUUUAAGUUCAAUUAUUAGAGUCAAUUUAGUUAUGACUUGUGACAUUCAAUAUUGUUUAAGGUUUUGAAAACUAUAAGUUUUUCGUCCCACAAAUUAAGGAAACUUUGAGACAUAAAUUGUUAAGUUUUCUUGAGGAUAUUGAGUUAGGUUAAUCUCUCUAGCUUAGGCUUCAAUUUUGCUCCUAGCUCUUCUCCCAACCCUUGAUUCUUCAAGUCCUAUUCUCUCUACCAUUUUCUCCUCUUGCUCCCACUUUCUCUCUGUUCUCUCAAAAGUAUCUUAUGAAGCGAAAGUGUGAGGAAAUUUCUCACAAUAGUAGGUUUUUAUACCAAGUCCCCUUAAUGGGCCUAACUCUCAAACUUAAUGGACUUAACCCAUUUCUAUUCACAUCUCAAAUGUUUCUACACUCUAACCGGUAAUUCAUUAGUAAUGUUAAAUAUCACUAUCGAUCACUAAACGGUAAUAUCUUAAUUUUACUCUAGUAACUUAGUAAAACAACUAUUCUCACUAGCCACUAAAAGUAACUUUCACCAAAACUUAUAAUUUUACUUGUUCUCACAAAAUGACCAAAAUACUCCGAAGUCCAAAAUGACUAAAAUACCCUUCUAACACAGAAACCAUGAAAGUGCAUCCAAUGAUGAAUAAUCACACACAAGCACAUAUAAACACACAAUAAAAGUAAUUAAAAUAAAUCUAGCUAAAAAUCGGGUUGUUACAAUAAGCCCUCAACAAAUUAUGAGUAUGCAAUGGACUCAACUUUGUGUAUAUCAACAUACAACCUCAUCUACAACAACGACAACAUGGACAACAACAACUACUACCCAACAGUGCAUAUUUAAAUAUGACGUACAUCUCAACAUGGUCAACUUGUGACACAACAACUUUUGACAAUGACAUUCAACAACUUGUACAGUCCUCUCUAUAAACAUCCAGGCACACAAAACCAUCCAACCCACAUCCUAUAACAACAUUUUAAAAAAUCAUGAUUUCUCCCUCAGGUACUCGCGAUGGCGAGCGGUCUUGCUCGCGAGGCGAGCGAUGGUUUGGCUUAUUCGCCAGGCGAGUCAGCUUACUUGCCAUGGCGAGUUGAGUCAGGUCAGACUACGUGAAUUCUGCAGUUUUUAACCAAAAGUCCCAAUUUUCCCCAAUUCAAUCCCCAAAACUGAUUACAGAAGUGUUGUAAGUUUCUGCCUAUGACCUGAACACAUUCUAACACAAUUGUCAUGGUUUCUACACUCUUCAAUUCAAAAAUUAAUAUUCAAAACCUAAUCCCAAUUUCCAAAUUUAACCAGAACCCUUGCUAAAACAAAAUCAGAAUUAUACAGACUAUAAUCAUUGAGAGUUAGUCUCACCCUUACCUUAGAUUGAUGAACAAAACUCUACAGAAUCAGAUUCUCCCCACUUGGCUCUUCUCUUAGUUUUUCUCCCAAAACUCUAUUGUACAUGAAAACUGCUUCUAACUUCUAUUUUCUAAUUUUCUCAGUAAAUAUAACUUCCCAAUAUCUAAUUAACUCCCACUUAAUUCACUUAAUUAUUAUUUAACCCCAAAACUCCAAAUAAAUUCUAAUUCUCACUUAUUCUAUUAAAUAAUAAAAAUAAUCAUUUAAUAAAAUACACCACACCAUAAAAUCAACAUAAAUCAUUUAAAAUCAUAUAAAAGACUUUAAAUCAACCAAAAAUAAUUAAAUAACAACUAGGGUGUUACACUCUCUCUUCUCCCCAUCUGAAGAGAACUUGAGGCAUAAAGGUACCGGUUGAGGAAGAACCAAAUCAGCCGCCGCUAACUCUAUUGUGUGUUUCAGAUNNNNNNNNNNNNNNNNNNNNNNNNNNNNNNNNNNNNNNNNNNNNNNNNNNNNNNNNNNNNNNNNNNNNNNNNNNNNNNNNNNNNNNNNNNNNNNNNNNNNCAUCAACUAUCACAUAUAGUUUCACCAUUCAAGCAUUCCUUACAUUCUAAGUAAGAUAGCAUACACAUCUCAUGAUAAAUAUCAUAUCCAAAACAAACAUUCAUUCAUACAACUUCACUUAGUCAUAUAAGAAUAGUCACCAUAAAUCAUAAGACAAUUGACUCAAGAACAUUUCCGACAAAAAUCCAAAUCAUGUGGCAAACGGCCAACAUUGACAAUUUUUCAAAGCUAGGCAACUUAUUCAAGUUUGAAAUCCUACAAUUCAAUCUUAAUCAAUCAUAUAAGUAUGAGCAUAGGCCACUUACGAACUAUCAAUCAUUAGUUCAAAGAUUAGCCUAAGUUCGUAUGAGAAAAUCUCAAGUUCACAUUUUUCACAUUCCCACCCGAAAUCCAAGUUUAACAUGAUUAAGACAUUGUACCAACUUUACAAGCAUUGUCUAAGCCCAUAUGAACUGUAGACCAAGCUUGCAACCCUUUUUGUUCACAAAAUUCCAAGUUUCGACAAUUUCCGAAAAACCGAAACGACACAAUCUCAAGUUUCAAACCAUUUGGAAAAUUGAAGUUUCGACAAAGUCGAAGGUGUUCCCGUAGAAAAGUAAGUGAAAACAGCAAAAGAACACUUCAAAACGAUUGCCUAGGACCCCUACACGACCACCCCCAAGCACCCGGACACGGAGCAACAAGCAUGUUGCCCUGUCCAGGGCGCCCAGCGCUGGCUUACUGACUUUUGGGCGCCUAGCGCCCUUGUUCAGGCGCAGCGCUCCGUAAACGCGCGUUUUCGCGAGUUUCGGCCGCGGGUUUUCACCAAUUUCGACCAAAAAUCGAAUGUUUAAAGUCCUCAAUCAUCAAAAGUGAUCCGAGACAUAACCCGAGGCUCUAACACAUCGAACUCGCUCGUUUCGUGGCAUUUGUACAAGUUAUGAAAUUUUUUAAAUGAUUUUCUCAAAACAAUAAGUCUUCAACAACAACAACGAUUCAUUUCUUCCAAUUCAACACAAUUCACAACAACAUCUCAACAUAAUUCAUACCCAAGUCAUGCAAUGAGAUUAUCAUCAACAAUUAACCACAACCACAACUUAUGAUCAUUCAUUCCAUCAUAUUUCAACAACAACAUGUCGUAAUUCACCAAUUUCACAAAACCACCAACAACAAUCCAUUUCUCAACAACAAAUCAUGAAUAUGCAUACCCAAACAAUGAUUCAUCAACCACAACAUCAAUUAACAGCCAUAACAUCAAUUGAACAAGAAUCAUAACUCAAUCCAACCACAACUUAGCAAAAUUCACCAAUUGAGCACAAUUUUCACAACUUAUCAUUUGUUCCUAUUUGAACAUGUAAUUUCACCAUCAAUCAUACAAUUAUCAUCAAUUCAUGCAUACAAACAUAUCAUCACAGUUGGAGCACGAAUUUAGCAACAAUUAUUCAUAAUCAAAAUUCAUACAACAUUUGAAAAUUUCACAAAAUGAUGAUGAUUAUGAUGAAGACUAACCCCCUUACCUUAGAUGAAGAGUAAUCCCUACUUAGGCUUCAAUUUAGCUCCUAAGCUCACUCCAAUCCUCAAUUCUUCAAGUUCUUCUCUCUAACCCUUUUUCUUCUCUUCACCACUUUCUCUCUUUACCUCUCUCAAAUAUCUAUGAAAUGAAAUGAAUGAGGUUUUUCUCUAAGACAAGUGUUUUGUGGUAUAUCCCUCUAAUGGGCCUAACCCAAAACCUAAUGGACUUAACCCAUUUGCUAUCCAAAUCAAAAUGUUUCUACACUCCAAAAGGUAAUUAACUAAUAACGGUAAAAUGUCACUAAUGAUCACUAAACGGUAAAAUAUCAAUUUACUCUAGUAACUAAAUGAAAUAACUAUUCUCACUAAUCACUAAAAGUAAUUCCCACCAAAAAUUAUAAUUUUUACCCGUUCUCACAAAAUGACCAAAAUACCCUUAAGUCUAAAAGACUAAAAUACCCUUCUAACACGGAAACCCAUGAAAAUGCACCCAAUGAUGAAUAAUCAAACACAAACACAUAAUAAAAGUAAUUAAAAUAAAUCUAGCUAAAAAUCGGGUUGUUACAGAUGUGGUUGCUGCCUUCUUGGAGUUUGCUCUGCAUGUCAUUCCCCAGCAGCAGCGGGAUGGUCAGGUCUCGGAGGACGAGCCUUGGAAGCAUUCAGGAGCGUACAUUAGGUGGUUCUACCGUGUAUCCCAUCCUCUCAUCGUCAACCCUGCUCUAGAGCCUGACAUUGUCAUGCCGAGACCUAUGUACCAGGAUAUUCUUGUUGACCAGUAGUGGGCUAGACAUCCUCCCGAUCCAUUCCAGAUCAUCAGCAGCAUUAGAAGCAUAGUGUAGCAUGCGAUGCACAUUCGAGAGGUGGUUUCAAAUCUACUAUUCUUCAGCAUCUUGGAAGGCCUCCAGACCGAUUACAGCGUGUUUGACGAUCAGCAGGUUCCAAGGAAGAGGUCUAGGAGUCAUAGUCCGCAGGAGCAGCAGCAGUAGGGUCUUAAUUUAUGACUUGUUUUUUUUAUGACUUUUUGGAUGUUUGUAGUAUUUUCCUGACAUUUUGGUUGUACUACUUUUACAUUUGCACGGUUGGACUUAUUUAUGACAUUUACGUUAUUUUUCAUUAAAAUUGUGUUUCUAAAAUUAUUCGUUCUCUAAAUUAUGAGUUCUGGUUGAAUCAAUGAAUGAUUGUAUCAAAAUUAUUAUCGAAUAAUUGCAUGUUCACUAAACAGGGAAUGAAGGAACAAAGGCAACAGCUACUGCCACUGCCAUUGCCAGUCUGGUCUGCAGCGUGCAUAGCAGAAGCAUCAGCGUGAGUUAACUCCCGCUAGUCUUAAAACUAGCGUGACUUAACUCACGCUGCUCAUUGUAGGUUUUGGUGCAUGCUUUAUACCAGAUUCAGAACUAGCGUGACUUAAGUCAAGUAACGUGAUUUAAGUUACGUUUCAUUUUGCACUAGCGUGACUUAAGUCACGCUACCUGUCUUAAGUCACGUUCCAAUUGGCACUAGCACAUGUAGGGGUGGGCAUGGUUCGGUUAACCAUAUUAAUCGAACUGAACCGAACCGUUAAAAGUUUGGAAAUAACCAAACUGAACCAAAGUUAUGGUUCGGUUAACCAUUUGUUUACCUAUUAACCAAAUCGAUCCGAACCAAAACAAAUAUUUUUUAUCCAAUAAAUAAAACCACUUUUAUUAAAAAAAAAUAACAAAUUCAAAUUAAAAGCUAGAAUAGUUUAUUUCUUAAAAACAAAUUAUCUUAUGCAAAUUAACUUAUUACGAUCGAUUUUUUUUAUAUAAAAAAUAGCUUAUUCAAAACAACUUAUUUUAUGCAAAACUUCUUAUUCAACACAAAUUAUUUUCAAACAACUUAUUAGGAUCUCAUUUUUCAAAAUAACGUAUUCGAAACAGCUUAUUUAUGCAAAACAACUUAUUAGGAUCUCUUUUUUCGAAAUAACUUAUUCAAAACAGCUUAUUUAUGCAAAACAGCCUAUUAGGAUCUCUUUUUUCAAAACAACUUAUGCAAAACAGCCUAUUAGGAUCUCUUUUCAAAACAACUUAUUCAAAACAGCUUAUAUAUGCAAAACAGCUUAUUAGGAUCUCUUUAUUCAAAACAGCUUAUUUAUACAAAACAGCUUAUUAGGAUCUCUUUUUUCAAAAUAACUUAUUCAAAACAGCUUAUUUAUGCAAAACAGAUAAUUAGGAUCUCUUUUUUCAAAAUAACUUAUUCAAAACAGCUUUUUUGCAUAAAUAAGUUGUUUUUAUUGCGUUAAUGUUUGAAAAAAGACCCUUCAUAAUUUUUCAUAAGUUAUUUUUAGAAUAAUUCUUCGAAUCGGUUAUCUUAACGACCUCCCUCAAACCUAGCCCUCAAUGCUCUCUUGAGGUUAUCUUUAGUAUGCAACUCCAGUCUUUCCACAAAUUAAACCAAUGCAUGGCUCCUUCCACGAAAUAAGUUUAUUGACGCGUAGUCCAUGCUACUGGAUUGUCAACAUCGAAUGAUGGAAGCUCGAAUUACUUGACUGAAAGGUAACAUUCAUCUAAAGUGGGCGAGGUCCUCUCCUACAAGUUGUGCUUCUCAUUAAUCAAUGAAUCUCGAUGCAAGAGUGAGAAAAGAGAGCGAAUAAAGUGAGAAAACUAUCUAUACAAAACUUCAAUAUAAAAAACCCUGAUGCAAGGCUCCUUAAAAUUAGAAACCAUUUUCUUCCUGCUUACCACUAUACCUUAUGCAAUAUCCUAACUAUCCAUGCAUCCUUCCUAUUAUUUAUCGAUUGAUUUAGAUACCAAAGUUUUAAAGUACACUACAAGAAAACUACGUUUUAGCGUCGGCUAGAAACCCACUCUAACAGGGCAAAAACUGACGCUAAAAUUGAUUUAGCGUCGGGGUCGGGGGCAGGCUAAUAAACUCGAAGUUACUGUGUAGUGUCCGCUCUUUGGACUCCGAGGCUACUGUAGAGUCGAAAAUGCCGAGUAUAAUCCGACUCUACAUUGAGCCGAGGCUAAAAAUUUCAUCAUCUAAAAAGUCAAACUAGUCAUGUAGAGUCAGCCAAACCGACGCUAAAUUAUUCACUUAGAGUUGGAUUAGCAAACUCUAUAGUCAACAUUUAAGUAGUCAACAAAAUUUUCAGUAAUGAGUGAUUCAGCGACUUUCGCAAAUGUGUCUCUAAAUCAACCAUAAACUUAUUGCUAGUGGCUUUUCUAAUAAUAAUGUGAUCACUCUUGUAUUUAUAACUUACAAGUUUAUGUCCUAUAUACAUAAGACUCAUGUGGUCUAUAUCAUUUCUUUUUUCUCUUAAAAUCAUUUUAAAUUUGAAAUAUGAUAUCGCUAGAAUUUAUAAUUUAUACUAAUGUUUUGAAUAUUCCUUAAUAAGCUGGUUUGAAUAAGUUAUUUUGAUAAAGGAGAUCCUAAUAAGCUUUUUUGCAUAAAUAAGUUGUUUUGAAUAAGUUAUUUUGAAAAAAGAGAUCCUAAUAAGCUGUUUUGUAUAAAUAAGCUGUUUUGAAUAAGUUAUUUUGAAAAAAGAGAUCCUAAUAAGUUGUUUUGCAUAAAUAAGUUGUUUUGAAUAUAAAAAAGAGAUCCUAAUAAGUUUUUUUUGGAUAAAUAAGCUGGUUUGAAUAAGUUAUUUUGAAAAAAGAGAUCCUAAUAAGAUGUUUUGCAUAAAUAAGCUGUUUUGAAUAAGUUAUUUUGAAAAAAGAUAUCAUAAUAAGUUGUUUUGCAUAAAUAAGCUAUUUUGAAAAAGAGAUCCUAAUAAGUUGUUUUGAAUAAGGUGUUUUGAAAAAAGAGAUCCUAAUAAGUUGUAUUGCAUAAAUAAGUUGUUUUGAAUAUAAAAAAUAGAUCCUAAUAAGUUUUUUUGCAUAAAUAAGCUGGUUUGAAUAGGUUAUUUUGAAAAAAGAUAUCCUAAUAAGCUGUUUUGCAUAAAUAAGCUGUUUUGAAUAAGUAAUUUUGAAAAAAGAGAUCCUAAUAAGUUGUUUCGCAUAAAUAAGCUGUUUUGAAUAAGUUGUUUUGAAAAAUAGAGAUCCUAAUAAGUUGUUUUACAUAAAUAAGCUGUUUUGAAUAAGUUAUUUUGAAAAAAGAUAUCAUAAUAAGUUGUUUUCCAUAAAUAAGGUGUUUUGAAUAAGUUGAUUUUAAAAUAUGUUUUUGCAUAAAAUAAGUUAUUUUAAAAUAAGUUGUUUUUUAAAAUAAGUUGUUUUUAAAUAGAUAUGCUUAAUGGUUCGGUUUGGUUCGGUUCGGAUAAUUGUGGUUACUAACGGUUCAGUUCGGUUAGUGAAUUGUUAUCCAAAUAAUGGUUCGGUUCGAGAAAUGGUUAAAUGGUUCAGUUAAUUUUGAUAUGGUUCAGUUCGGUUAACCGGUUCAAAUUGGGUUUUGGUUAUUUUUGCCUACCCCUAAGCACAUGUUAAGUUGCUUAAGGGUAAAAUGAUCUUUUACUUUGGGAAUGAGCGAAACCAUUUGGGUAAUGAGCAGAAUUUGGAGAACCUCAUGGCUUAAGUACCACAUUAAGCACUUUGAUCUACUCGAUGUGAGAUUUCUAACUUGCCACGCCCUUUAAAAGCUGACGUCCACGACGGCUUUCACUCUAUCUGCACUGACCCGAUGGUAGCCCUUUCUUUUUUGACGGCUUCACUCACCUAUCAGUAUUCGAUGGAACACCUUAAUCCAGUCUAUAGGUAGCCCUUUCGGUGGUCCAACUUUCAACGAGAGCACCAAUUGUUGGGACUUAAGCAUAAGAGAAGAGCCCAACAAUUAUACUUUUAAAUCAAACAUGCCGGCUCAGGCAUAUCGUAUUUUAUGUUUGUUAGGCCGGCAAUGUAAAUUAUGAUAUUUUAUACAAUCAAUCAUUCACCAACUACCACAACCUACGUCUUUGUAUUAAACCUUUUAUUUUUAUAUGCUGAUGUUUCCUAAUAAGUAAAUAAAUCAAUUUAAGAAUAUAUAAUUACCAAGACGUGUAUUGAGAAUACCAAAUAAUUGCAAUGCAUUUGAUCACAUCUAGUGAGAUAACUGUGACCAAAUAAUUUUAUGAAUAGCUUCUAUUUACCUUAAGAAAUGAUGACUUAUAAGUGUCUGCUAAAUUCUUUAAUUGCUAAGUUUUCACAGUAUACAGCUAAUAUAUAUGUUAACGACUUUGCAAAUUAAAGGUAGACUCAAGAAGACUUAUUUGUUGUGUAAGAAACAAAAUUUGAAAGCUGGAAAGCAUAGCUCAUAAAUGGUUAAUGAACCCACAUAGGGAAAAGAGUAAACACCGUCCAAUUAAAAAUUGCCAUUGGCAUUUGUGGACUUAAAUAAACAAAUGAAAGAAUAAGAAUAAGAGCAAAAAUUUGAAAAGAAAGACGAAUUUGUAUUUGGUGUCAUCAAUAGUUUAUAUAUAUAUAGUAAGGUUUUGUAUGCCACGUAUUAUUUCCACGUUCAUUCUCAAUGAUUUUAUUAUUUUUUUAAUUUUUUAAAAUUAAUAUUUUAUUUCGCAUAAAUAUCUCAACAAACUUUUGAUCUUAUCCACUCAAUAUUUUAUUUAAAUUUUUAUUGAAUUUCUAAUAUUCUAAGUGUCAGAAAUAUCUCAAUAAACUACAUAUAAUACUUUCAAAAAAAGUUUACACAUAUGAUUUUAUUUUAUAAUUAAAAGGCUCCAGUUGGUUUUUUUUUUUUUUUUAGGAAAAGAAACUUCAAUUAGUUACUAAGUAAUCUUUUAGCAGUGUAUCAUUCAAUUAGUUUUUCUACUUUAACGCUACAUAACCAUAUUCAACAAAUGUUCACAGGAAUCAGGAUCGUCUGCGGCAGGAUGAAGAGGACGACGUUCUAGGCCCCAAAUAAAAAGUCCAAAAUUUAGGAGAUACUUUAUGUAACUGUAUUCAACAAGUGCUCACAGGAAUAAUAAUUAAAAACAUAUUGUUCUUAUUCAUUCUAAAGUUUGUUUCUAAACCCAAGAAGAUGAAGAAAAAAAAAGGAUAGGAUUUCAAAAAUAUUAUAGAAAAGUCUCAAACUAGCAAAUUAUAGCAAAUGACUCAUGGAAUUACAUCAAUCUUUACUAUGCUACUCAAACAAGUUAACAAUAAUUAGAACCAAGAAGAACAUGUAUUCAACUUAUUCCAUUUAUUUACGCUUCAUGUUGCAUAUGCUAACAAAGCAGUGGAACAGAAGCUUUUAAACAGUAUACACAUUAAGAAUAUUACAAAUCCUACAAUAUUGCACUCUGCCUGAUUGGCUCAUGUAGACUGCAUGAAGUAAAUCCAAUCUAAAACAAGUUUACAAGAAGAAUCAUGACAAGCUAUGAAGCACGGACACUCCUUGGAUAAGGCGUGUCUCCGUGUCAGACACGUCUCGUGUCCGACACCGACACAUAUAAUUACACUGCAUUUUGUGAUUUUCUAAAAAAUUUAACUGUGUCGGUGUCCGUGUCCGUAUCCGUGCUUCAUAGAUGACAAGAAUAACAUUCCCCACUUUUGUCUUCAAUUCAACAAGCGGGCUGAUUUUCAUCCACUUAGGCCUUGAUCUCCUGGAAAUAUCAAAAAAGCAUUUUAUGAUUUCUUGAGGAAAAAUGUAGCAGUUGAAUUUCGUUCAACAAAUGUGUAUAAGAUUUGAUCAUGUGCAAUCCUUACAUAGUUUAGCUUACAAUGAUAAAGAACUAAAAAUAAUAAAUAAUAGAUACUUUUAUAAGCCCAAAAAUAACAAGAAACCAGUUUUCCAAAAUGACUUAUAAAGUUCUAUAGAAAAGUAUCAAACUAACCAACAUACAACAAGUGACUAUAGGAAUAAUAGUUUCAGCAAAAAGUAUGCUGCUACAAUAAUGACAUUUAGCAACACUUGAAAAUUGUAACUAAAUCAAGAAAAAUGUUACUAAUUAAAUUUAGCAACACUUGAACAAUUGUUAGGUAAAGCCCGUGUUACUAAAGUGUUUUAGUUACAUUUUAUAGUACUAUCUGUAACAAUCAAAAAGUGUCGCAAAUGGUACCUUAUUGUAACACUUUUUGUAUCACUUGUAACAAUAAAAAAGUGUUACAUUUAUAAUUUUUGAGGAGUUGUAAAAAGUGUCGCAAAAUUGUCUAAACUAAUUUUUUUUAAUUUACUAAAUUUGUCUUUGCUUAGACUUCAUUCAUAUUUGAAUUAACCAAUAUUAGAUACAAGUUUUAAUAACUAGUUUGAAUUACAUACUCUAUAAAAGUUCCCCUCUUCUCUGUUCUUAUUCUUGCAUGACGAAAAUAAACUAUGCAACACAAUUUAAACUAUACAACACAAUUUGAAUUACAUACAAAAAUGAUUACAAUUAAGUUUUCAUCCAACACAAUUUCCCCUUCUCUUUAAGGUCAUCAAGCUGCACAUGAGAAAUGCAAGCCUUCUCUUUAAUCUCCUUUGUCUUGUGCCGUUGCUUAUCCGCAAUCAUCUUCAUAAUGUUCUGCCUGCAAGAUUGCAGAAUUUGGUGGCUAUCAUAGAUUCAGUGGAGGAUGUCUUCAUAGUGGCCACUAAUCUUAAGGUGUCACAUGAAUAACAAUUCAAUUCUAGUCAGCCUAUUCAAUCAAACACACCAAAAGAAUAAGCAAAGAUAAUUCAUAAAAUAAGAAUAUUAUUAGAAAUUGAGUUCAAUAACACAAAAUCAAUUAAAUUUGGGAUAAACAUAGUACCUUUUUUCUUAAGUUUCUCAUGUUUUGCCUUGCGCUUAGCUGCUUUAUCCAAAUAAUGUUGUUUAUCCUGAUUAAAUAAUAUAAUCAAUUUUAAAAGACAAAUCUUACUUAAGUUGAUCAUAUUGCAUUGCAUGUGUUGUUAUAUACUAGAGAACUUACUUCAUUACUCAUGGAGUUCCAUGCUUUAAUAGCCAUUUUAUUAACACCAGAAUUUUGAUCUACUUCUUUAAAAUUUUUGCCAAACUUAUCCCUGAAAUAUACAUUUUUAACUUAAUAAUAAAUAACGCAAAACUAAAAAAUAUAUUAAACAAAGAAGAUUUACCAUAAGAGAGAAAAAGAACUCGGCGGAUUCUCAAGCAUAUCAUGAUCCUUCUCAACUUUGAUUUUUUUGGCCUUGUGUUCUUUUGGCUUGCUAUAUAAUUUUAAAAUGAAAAUUAAUAUGUCUUUCCUAAAAUUUUCCACUAUAAAGUAAAAAAAGUAAUGAUGUGGAGCGAACUUACCUCUUUGUGUGUUUCUUCGGUUUAACUUCAGCUAGAUUGUCCAAAGUUAGAAUAUCUACAAUAUGCCAAAAAAAAUUACAACAGUAGAGAUGAUGUGUCUCGCUUUUCAUCCGUAAUGUAUUAAUACAAUCACAAACAACCUUUAAACAAAGAUAAGAAAGGUAGAACAAUCCUCAAGAGUAUAAAGAGCAUGUGAGUGAGUACAAUAAAAAUAUGGUUCUGUUCUGCUGAAUUGAGUGUGUGUUGACAUAGAGAUGGCGAAGAGAAAACACAUAACAACCGUAUUUGAUUAUUAUUAUUGUUGUCGUAGAGUUUUAAAAAUAUGUUUCUAUUCUACAUUUCUUCUACAUAACUGUGCUCGUGAUUUUCGGAUAUCAAACCAUUAAUUGAUUUUGAAUCGUCAAUCUUUGAACUCUCGAUUUUUAUUCGUGGGAAGGGAAAAAAUGAGUAAAAACCCUUAAGACUUUGGAUUCGGGGGUUGGUUAUGCAAAGGAAAGGUGCUAGCACCCUAAGCGUCUACGGUAUUCCGUAGGAACCUCUUACCUAGAUUAUCUUGUGCUAAAUUGAUUUGCUUAUUUGAAAAUUAUUACUUAAGAAUCUAAAUGAAAGAAUGGAGGGAGAAGAAGUAUGUUUUUUGAUUAUUUUUAUUUGAUUUGGAAGGACAAGUGUCUUCUGCCUAUGUACCCGUGAGGGAUCAAAACCUCGUAGUUCGGGGUAGAAAUUGACGUUUGAUUGGUUUUGUGUUUUUUAUAUGUUUUGAAAAAAGGUUUUAUAAUGAAAAGACAAAUGGCAAAUGAGAAUGUGUUUGUGUUUUUUAUAUUGAAAAACAAUAGACUCAAAGUAGAAUUAAGUUGAUUGAAAAUUUGAUUAAGAAAAAUAAAAUAAAAAAGACGGUUACUUGAUUGAAAGUCAAGGUUUGUUAUAAAAAUAUUUUUUUGUGAUUUUUUGGUAUUUGAAUGUUUUUGCCGUUUUUGAAUAAUGAAUGAAAAUUAAACUAACAGAGCAAUAAAAACAUAAGACCAGAGCACUCUGGAGAAUGAUUAAAUUAAACAAAAAUAUAAUAUUAACAGUUAAUUGAGUACCAGAGCACUCUGGAUUAAUUUAAUUAACAGAGACCAUAUUGUUCUGGAGAAUAAUUAAAUUAAACAAUAAUAUAAUAUUAACAAUUAACUUAGGACCAGAGCACUCUGGAUUAACAGAUAGAAAGAGAAUUAAAAUGCAUGAAAAAGAAAUAAAAAUUAGAUGUUGGGGGGUAAGCAAGGAAUAAAGGGGGUGCAAGAACAAAAUAGAAAGAAAACAGAGAAAAGGAAAGGGCCAAAGCACAAGGCCCAGUAGAGUAUUGGGCUUAAAGCAGACCGGUUUGGGGUCCGGUUCGGUUCGGGGAGAACCAGACCAGUUUCAACUAUAUAUAUGUAGUGCCGGUUUUUUUCCUCAUUUUUUCUUUCCCCCUCUCUCUCUACCUUCUUUUAGGGUGUGUUUGGUUGCGAGAAGAAAGUGAAAAGAGAGAAAUAGGUGAGAGAGAGAGUAUAAGAAGAGAGAAAUAGAUGAGAAAUAUAGUAGAUUUGAGGUAUUGUUUGGUUUAAAACAAAGAGAAGAGAAAUAGAAGAGAGAGAAGUGUGUUUAAUUUGUAAAAAGACAAAAAUAUCCUUUUAUUAAAAAUUAAUAUAUUUACACUAAGUACAAUCUUUUAAGAAUAUUAUUAUAUGUUUUUAUACUGUUUAUGUUCCCUUUUUAUUACCGUAAAAAAUUUCCCAUUUUUUCUAUCAUAUUUCAUCUAAUCUUUUAUUUUUAAUUAGCUAAAUGCAUUUGAUUUUCUCAACUAAAAUAUACGUAAAUUUAAUAUUGUUAGUUACAAAUCAUGUAUUGUGUUAGUUAUCAAAUUUGAAUAUUACAUUACUGUUUUAAAUUUAAGAAACUCAACUGGUACAUAGGCAUUACUGUUAUUAAAUUUAAGAAACCAAAUUUUCUAAGUUUUGACCCACUCCACAGGUAGAAAAGACACUUACAAUGGGUAAAAAAAUGGUUUCUUAGGGGAAGUAGAGAUGAUAGAUCUAGUGGUGAAAGUCAGUUAUGGAACUAUGGAAGUGGACAACAAUAACAUGAAGUUAUGAGAAAGGAAACCACCGAGAGUGACGAGGGUAAAAAUGGAAAAGUAAGGAAAAAAACACUUUCUUCACUCUUUCUUCGCAUAUGAGAGAAGAGAGCUAAAAGUGGUGGGACCCACCUAUUUGAUCUCUCUCUUCUCUAUUUCUCUCCUCAACCAAACAUGGUGUUAGAGAGAGAAGCUCUCUUCUCUCUCCUUCCUUUCUUCUUCUUCUCCGGCCAGAGGUGGUGGCCGACGGGUUUUUUCGGCGCGGUGGCCGGCGAGUUAUCGCGCCGGAGUUUAAAAAAACUCCUCUUUUUUUUUGUUCUUUCUCUUCUACUCCCUCUCCUCUAUACGUUUUUAGCCUCACAAACCUCAAAAAAUAAAUAUACGAGCCUAGAUCCAAAACUAAAAGUUAAAGAAAAACUACCUUCUUGGUUUGAGAGGGUUUGUGUGAUGGUUUGGUAACUGAGAUUACGGUUUUGGACUUGUGUGUGUGUGUGUGCGGGUUUGUGAUAUGGUGAUGGAUUUGUGUUGAAUAUGUUGUGAUGGAAUUUUUUUGUGUUUUUUGCUCUUGCUGUUUUGUUUGGUCGAGAAAAAAUAUAUUAGUCUGUGUUGUUUAUAAACUUGUUUGAGCGUGUUCUCCCCCUUUGUGUGCUGCUUGUAUGAUGUAUUUAUAGAGCUGAUUUGAGCAAUAUUUUGUUGCUUGGUGAGGAAAUUGACAGGCUGUUGUGGCUUGGAGAGGAAUCUGUUUUUGUGGCUUGGAGAGGAAGCUGUUUUGUGGCUUGGAGAGGAAGCUUGAGAGGCUGCCUUGUGCUGUGUUCACUUUGGGUAUUAUCGGACUAAAUUUGACAAUAAUAAAAAUAAUAAUAAUAAAGAUAAAAUAAUAAAAAAAAAACAAGGACUAAAGUGAAUCAAAAUGAGAUAAAAAAAAGAUAAAAAUUUAAAAUGGAUUUAAAGUUAAUAGAAGAUGGAAAUUAAAAUUAAAUGAAAAAUGAAAAUUGAGAGAAGAGGGCCCGACUCGGAAUCUGAUAUGAGGUAUUUUAAAAUCCGAAUCUUUUUUUUUUUUGCUCGAAAGGCUGAGACCGGUCGGAGUUAAAUGACAUGUGUCAAUGUUGUCUUAGGUCAAAAAUUGGGGUAUGACAAUAAUCAAACUAAAUUAUUUUUGCAUAAUUAAACAACCUAAUAUUUAAAAAGUAUAAACGAGUACCAGUUAAUUUCUUUUGUAUAUACUGAUCAACGACUUCCUCUUGGUCAACUGAUUUUGGUGCUAGAUGAGGGCUGGAGGCAAUUUUCUCUUGGUCACCAAACACUUCAAACAUGGAGCCCCAUGAGACCUUACACUUAUUUCCUAUGAUGUGUGGUUUCUCCUCUUGCACUUCAAGGACUUCAGGCUUUUAGCCACUUGGACCUAGGCCCCUAGGCUUCUGUGUGUGUUUCUUCGGUUCCACUUCAACGAGGUCGUCCACAGGUUGAAUUUCUACAAUAAGCAAAAAAACAUUAAAAAAAUACGUUAGUGAUUUAACCAAGUGAAACUAUGCACUAUGAAAACUAGUUUGAAUUACUUUUCUCACGUAGCUUUUUAUGAGUAUUUUCUUCUUUUCCUUCUUUGAUCUCAAAAAAAGAACGUGCAUCAGCUUGCACAUCAUUUGUCUUUGGAAUGCUAAACAAGGUCGGAAUUACUAUUUUCGGGUAACAUUGGUGUAUCUGAGUUAAAACAAUGUUUAAGCCACCUAAUAACUCUCCUUUAAAAGCUUCUAACUGCUCUUUUAAUUUCACUUCCAUUUCCUUUUGUAAUCUUUCUUGCAGAAACUGUAUCUCAGUAUGAGCAAUCCUUUUAACUUCCUCAAUAGUUUUUUGAAUUUCAACUUGAGACUUAGUUCCCCAUAAGUCAGAAGCUACAACACCUUUUCCAUAGGUGCGCACAUAACCAUGGGUAUCUUUUCCCAAGACUUGGGACAGUAUAUCGUCUCGAGAUGAGAUUUGUUCUGAUGCAUUUGGAAGUAAAGAUAGAAAAUCCUCAAGCAUUGACUGAAAAUCAAAAGUCAAUGAUAUUUGAGAUCCAAUGAAUAUAAAGUCUUAUAUAUAUAUAUAUAUAUAUAUAUAUAUAUAUAUAUAUAUAUAUAUAUAAGUUUGAAAUAAUAAUGAUAGAGAAUCAUACAACAAUUCUCUCGGUGUCGCUGUUUACUGGAUUUCCCCUCUUGGACUUAUGUGUCAUAAUGUACAUUUCCACACGAGAGGGUUCUCUUUUAUCAGGAUUCUUCAUCGUCUAUUUAUACAAAAAAUAUAACAUUAGAUCAAUCACUACGUACAUGAUUCUCUUUUCAGACAAUGUGAACGAAAUAGAUGAUUCAUAACAGAAAGAAAAAAAAAAAAAAAAAGCACGAAUCUAAGAUAAUUGUGAUGAAAUCUAAGCGAAAUCAAAACUGAAUGCGCGAAAAAUGUGAAACCGAAGAAGAAUUCGAGAGUGUUACCUGCGUGAGCGAAAGAGGAAAAAGGAUUUGUGAAGCUCGAUCGGUGAAGUGUGAAGCUCGGCGGUGAGAUUCAGUUCCGUGAGAAGCUCGACGGAAUGAUAAUGCGUGAUGGUGGUUGAGAAUGAGAAUCCGUGAGAAUGCGUGAGAAGCUCGACGGAAUGAGAAAUUCGUCGGUGAAGCUUGACGAUGGUUGAUGGUGUGAGCGUGACGGUGGUCGAAGAUGUGCGACGGUGGUGAAGCUUGACGGUGGUUCUGCUGAAUCACGGUGGUGAGAUCUUUGUGAGAGAGAAAAGUGAUUUUUGAGGGAAGAGAGAGAAAAGUGUUUCUCAAUGGUUUAUAAUACUUUUUUUUGUUUUAUUUUGACUAUUGUUGACCAAAAAAUUUAACACGUGAAUGAAUAAUGAAUCGGUACUUGUUACUCUUUUAAUACUUGUAUUUUUAUUUUUUUUAGGGAUGGUACUUUCUUUUUUUUUUUGAAGGAGGGGAUGGUACUUGUUGUAUUGGAUGUAACACUUUUACUCAAUUGUUACUAUAUCACUAUAUCAGCUAACAAUUUUUCAAGUGUUGCAAUCACCUUGUUACUAAAAGUCAUUAUUGUAGUAGUGACAAUAUAUUGAAUUUUGAGAGAUCACCAAAUCUCAUACAGAGGACACAAAUGGACAUGUAGAGGAGAACACAAAUUGAGCUGUCGACAAUUCCAAAAUCCGAGAUUGUUGAGAGAGGAGAGAUGUCGAAGCCCAUUUCCAUCGAAAGACUUCAUUUCAGAGAGACUGCCGAUAAACAGAGACAAAAGGGAGAUGGGUAUCAACAGCUCCUUCAUCAAGGUGCUAAGUGCUAACUAUAUCAUCACUCUUUCCAAUAGUCAAUGUUGAAAGAGCGGUCAGAUCUAGAAGGUAGACAAACUCCUUCACAAAAUCUAGAAGGGUGUUGCUAUUUGGGACCAAAUCACAAUUGAUUGUAAUUUAGGAGGUAGACAAACUCCUUCACAAAAUGACAACUCUCGACAUUCCAAGUCCAACCGUUCAAGAGCGGUAAGCGUGUCCAUCCGAAGCUUCACUUUAAGUGAUCCAAUUGAGUCAUGGGAUUUGAUUACAAGUGUUUGGAGUCUUGACGGUCGACUUGGAGGACUUUCUAAAAUAUUAAUGGAAUCCAGAUUCCUACACUCACUUAUCCGAAGUCUUUGGAGUGCAGGGAAACCAUCAAGUUGGAAGGAUGUAAGUGCAUCACAGCUACUCCGUAAAGUAAGACUCGCAAGCGAUGUGUAAUUGCUCCAUGUUUCAGGAGGAAGGAAUGAUAAAUUCUCACAUUUUUCUAUUUCAAGUGAUUGCAAUGGAGUUGGCAGACCACUUGACGGAAAUACAGUGAGAGAUGGAAUAUCAUAGAGUUUCAAGUGUUGAAGAAAAGUGCUUCUCAAAAUCAAUUUUGGCAUAGAUGACAGCAUAACACACUUUUCAAUCACUGCAUGUUGCAUCGUGCAAGGAGAAUCGCUCCCAAGAAAUGACAAUUGGGUCCUUCCAUCAUAGGCAACUCACUUAUGUUAGUACCACUUAUAUCAAGGUGGCGUAAACUGGCAAAAUAUCCAAUUUGUACUGGCAAUUCAGUGAGACCCUCACAACUUGAUAAAAUCAAGGUUUGCAAAUUGUAAAGGUUACAUAUUGUAUCAUGCAAGCUUUUGAUUUCAGUAUAGGAGAGAUCUAGAUACCGCAGUUGCACUAAAUUGCCAAUUGUAUCUGGUAGCUUGGUGAUGUUUGUAUACUUUGAAAGUGAUAAUACACGCAACAUGUUGAGUGUUGGUAGGAAAUUGUCAACCACCUUUAUGGAUAAGGAAUUGUGAAAACUCUUAUAAUUAAUGGGUAGGAAGCUUCGCAAGCAUUUGAAAUUGUAGAUUUUCUCAAACUUUCUGAAAAUGUCAUACACUUCUUGGUUAUAUGAGAAAUGACGAACAGUUUUGGAGAUGUCACCAAAUUCACACCUGCAACAACUUUUUCCUGAUACGACUGUAGCUAAGUCGUUGACAAGGUCAUGCAUGAAAAAGAUUUUUCCAAAACCAUCAUCAUUUGAUUGUUGAAUUAAGGAUCUGGAUGACAAUUCAAGAAAGCAAUCAUCACCAAAUUCCUCAGUCAUUUUUCCCCCUUGAGAACAAUCAAGGAAGCCUUCUGCCAUCCACAACAAAACCAAUUGCUUCCUAUCAAGUGGGUAGUCCUUUGGAAAAAUUGAACAAUAUGCAAAACAUCUUUUCAAAUCGUCACAACAGUGGAAUGGAAUGGACUGGAAGCAAGGAUGUGUGCAUAACGGUAAUUGGAGUUGUGGGGUCAAAGACAGAGAUGGGUUUAUAUUGCGGUAUCAAUUACAGCUUCAGUGGUCCUUUUGAUGUUAUUGGCAGUCACCUACAUCUAUAUAACCAAGACAAAGUAUAAAGGUAAGUUUCUUAAGCAUAGUGCCUUUUAGAUUUCUCAAGAUUCUAAAAUUAAUGAAUUGGAUUCAUGCAAUAUCUCAGUAUUUCACUUGUGCAAGUUUCUUAUUAAAAUAGAAAUUUUGUAGUGACGCUUCAUGUGCUAAAUUUCCAAUCAAAGUUUCUUUUUUUACAUGACAUUGACUAAAAGAGGGAAUAGAGAGAACAACAAGUCCACAAGAAAAAGAUGAGGAAACACAUGAAGAUAUUGAGCUUCCCAUCUUCGACCUAGCUACAAUACUCGAGGCAACAAAUAACUUCUCUUUUGACAAUAAGCUCGGGGAAGGUGGUUUUGGACCAGUAUAUAAGGUAAACUUACAACAUUUCUGGUUAAGUGAAUAAAAUAGAAAUAUUUUUUAUAAAACUAUUUCAACUAUUAUUAUUAUAUAUAUAGGGGACAUUUCUCAAUGGGCAAGAAAUUGCUGUCAAAAGGCUUUCAAGGAGUUCUGGACAAGGACCUAAAGAGUUUUAAAAUGAAGUUAUAUUAUGUACUAAACUUCAACACCGAAAUCUUGUAAAGGUUGUUGGUUGUUGUAUUGAAGGAGAAGAGAAAAUGUUGAUAUAUGAAUACAUGUCCAACAAAAGUCUCGAUUCAUUUCUUUUUGGUGAGUAAUUUUUCGCGAAGUGUAAUAUUUGGAAUGAUAUUAGUUUAUUUUGUUAUGCAAAGAAACGACAUGUAAACGUAUUGGAGGCACUUUACAGAUCCAUUUCAAAGUAAAUUGUUGGAUUGGUCUGCACGCUUCAACAUUAUAUUUGGAAUUGCUCGAGGGCUUCUUUAUCUUCAUCAAGAUUCAAGAUUACGGAUCAUACACAGAGAUCUUAAAGUGAGUAAUAUUUUAUUAGAUGACGAUAUGAAUCCCAAAAUUUCAGAUUUUGGUAUGGCUAGAAUGUGUGGAGGUGAUCAAAUUGAGGGGAGAACAAACAGAAUAGUCGGUACAUAGUAAGUAUCUUCAAAGAUAACUCACUUCUUCUAUGAUCGAUGUGACAUUUCAAUAAUUAUUUGUUGAUUCCUUUCAGCGGCUAUAUGGCACCUGAAUAUGCAACAAAUGGAUUAUUUUCUAUCAAAUCAGAUGUAUUUAGCUUUGGCGUGUUAUUAUUAGAAAUAAUCAGCGGAAAGAAAAAUAGAGCACUUAACUACCAUGAGCACGAUCAUAAUCUUAUUGGAUAUGUAAGUUUCCUUAAACACAAUGAUUCUCUUGUAGUAUAUUAGUAUAAGAAAAAUCUAUUAAACUUUUGCAGGUGUGGAGAUUGUGGAAAGAGGGCAUUCCACUCGAAUUGAUCGAUGAUUUCUUGAGGGACUCGUGUAUUGAGUCUGAAGCAUUGCGUUGCAUUCAAAUCGGUCUACUAUGCCUACAACAUCAUCCUGAUAACAGACCAAACAUGACAUCAGUGGUUGUGAUGCUGAGUAGCGAAAAUAGUUUACCUAAACCAAAGGAACCUGGUUUAUUAAUUAAAAAACUUUCAACUGAAGGAAAAGCUUCACCUGGAAGACAAACAUCUUCGACAAAUGAAAUAACUAUAUCACAGUUAGAUGCUAGAUAAAGAAAUUUGUACAUUUAUAACAUUAUACUUUAAAUGUUACUUAUCAUAGCUAUACUAUACAACAAAAAACUUCCAUUUUUGUUAUAGAGAGGGGUGGUAACCUGUUCUUGUGUAUGCAUUAGUUUUUUGUUUUGUUACAAUUCUUUGGCACCUAAAAUAAUGUCGCACUCUUUCAGAAAACAACAAGUGGCGGAGCCAGGAAUAUUGUAAAGCCCAGGCAAAAAAAAAAUUGCAACACAUUUAUAGGGCGUACAUAAGAAAUUGCAAGCAAAUAAUAAAAAAUGUAAAGAAAUUGUCCAAUUUAUAGGGAUUUAUAUAAGAAAUUCAUAGGGAUUUACACAAGAAAUUGAAAAAAAUUUGGCCCGGAGCCCGGGCAAGUGCCCUGGGUCGCCGGGCCUUAGAACCGCCCCUGCUUGUAUUGAAAUAACGGUGGAUUGAAGAAUGCUACAGCUUGACCAUGUAACAAAUGGGAUACACGAUGAACAUAACAUGGUUUGAGUAUUUCCGUUGAGAUCUUCCUUAUUGCAAAGGCUAUGGGCUUAUGGUGGAACUCAAAGUAAGGUCAUUGAUGCACGGUGAUGGAUGACGGCACGAGGUGUUGUUCAGUAGCGGUAGGACCAUAGUCACACAAUUCGCUGCUACCCCAUACGAACGAACCAAUUCCCACGUAUCGGUUCGCAGUCCUUUUGCGUACGUGCAAAUUCGUUUUGCAAUUCCUUGGAAGUGGCGAACGUGUUGAAGAUGGAAGCCGACAACCAAAAACCAAUAGAAAGUGAACCACUUCCCAUCAACACCGGAUUCAAUGACCAUUUCCAUUGCACCUUCAUCAUUCUUUAACUCUUUAACUAUUUCAUCAGCCUUGUAAUACAUUAAUAGAACUUCGGGGUAACCUUUCUCUUUGAGAAUGCCCAAAAUCUCAGAAUAUGACCAACAAGCAGGAUCACACGACAAUUCAUAAUCAAUACCCAGCUUAUAGUCAUAAUCAUCUCCUGGGAUCCCAAAGAAUCCACCGGUGUGGAUCCUGACAUUAAACAAACCAACAAGAGUAUUGGCUUCUAAAUCUACGUGAAUAACAACGAAAAAAUAACUUCAUAAAAUAUCUUGAAUCUUGAAUCGUGAUUAGAAAUCCUCAUAUGAUAACCUCACAGUAUGAAACGAAGAACCCUAAUAAUUAGGGGUGGGCAUGGUUCGGUUAACCUAAAAAACCGAACCGAAAUUUUAAAAUGGUUCGGAAAACCGAACCGAACCGUUUCAGGUAUGCAACUAACCGAACUGAACCAAAGUUAUGGUUCGGUUAACCGUUUUCUUACCUAUGAACCGAACCAAACCAAAACCAAUAUUUUGAACCAAAUGUAUUUUUUUUUCCUUUUGUGAAUUUAAUUGUGUUUUUUUUAUCCAAAAUGCAAAAUAUUUUUUUAUUUACUUUUUUUUAAGAAUAUAAUUUUUUUUAUUAAUAUUAUUAUUACACAAACAAAGUAAAAUAAUAAGUUUAAUGCAAAAUAUAUUAAGAAAUAAAAUUUACACUAUGAAAUUAUCGAUUAAUUUUUGAAAGAUAUGAAGUAAUAAUAAUAUAGAUUAAAUUAAUGUAAUAUAUAAGAUUAAACACGGUAAAAAAUAUAUGUAUUAAUAUUUACUUUCGCGGUUCGGUUUAGAUUGUUUCGGAUUUGAAAAAAAUGAUCCGAUCCGAUCCAAGUCAAAAAAAUCAACAUAAGAGCACAUAAAUCACAAGAGCACAUCUUUUGUUAAAUUUCAAAAAAUUCAAUAGAACUAUAUCUUUUAUACAGUUGACAUCAACAUAAGAGCACAUAAAUCAUAAGAGCUUGAUCCUUAAGUAACAAUAAAAUCAACUUCAGUUUGAAGCAUAAAGAUGCACAAUAACUCUCAAUACAUCAACAUAAGAGCAUAUAAAUCAUAAGAGUUUAAUCCUUAAGUAACAAUAAAAUCAACUUCAGUUUGAAGCAUAAAGAUGCACAAUAAUUCCUUAGUUACUCUCAAUACAUCAUACUUGCAUAAGUUAAUAGAGUCAACAUCCUUCCAAAGAAAACUAUUACAAUGACAAAACAAAAUAAAGCUAAAUGUUUAUAAUAGCAGACAUCUUCUCUCAACAAGUAGUUAAUAACUUCAACUUUGAAGUUCAAAUUGAUCUCUGACUUUAUGAAUUAUGUUUGAUCAUUCAUAUGGUAUGGGCCCUGCAAAACAAAAAGACAUGAAUUGAAGUGAAUUGGCUUAGAAAGGGAUUCAAGAUAUUUGACAGUAACUAAUACUAUAUAUUAACCAAACAUAUUUAUCUCAAGUGUUACCUUUAUGAUUCAAGUGGAUGGUUUUCAAUUUAUAUCAUCUAAGUGGACUGAUUCUUGAGAUGUUAUCUCUACAAAAAAAAAAAAAAAAUAUAUAAAUUAACCAAUGUUGAAAAUAAGAAUCAAAAUGCACAAGUUUCAGAUUGUUAUACAUAAUACAUACAAGUUAUACAAUCAGCUCAGAGUUAAUUUUGCAGGAAUUAUAAAUCAUCUAAGGUUGAACAAAUAAAGCUAGAAACUCAAAAAGUUGUUGUCACAUAAAGCCAGCUACUAUGUAAUUCUAUAUGAUACUCAGAAAAUUCAUAUCUACGGAUUAUCCCCUGAGAUCAACUACCUUCUGCAGAAAAGCAUGAAGCUACAAAAUUCACUUACCUUACAACCAGAUCACAUAUCAGUAACUAGGUAUCAAUUUACUACCAAGAGGAAAGUAUGGCUUAUCACAUGAAAUCAUAUCAAAACCAAACUACUGCAUAAUAAUUCUCUGCACUCCACACACAACACAUCAUAGAGGCUAUACUAAUUGAGACACAAAAUAGACUAGACCUAGACCAAGCUAGAAUUGUUAUACAUAUUAUGAACCAUCUAAGUUUCAAGUUGUGUAUCAUUAAUCAAUGAAGAAGCCAACAUGUAAUUAAAUCGUUUAAUGAAACCAAAACAAAAGCAUCUUAGUUUAAAUAACAAUUUAAAAAACAUUCAUUAUUCAUCGAAACCUAUAAACUCGAUUAUUCAAGAUGACAAGUAGCAGCUCAAACUCACUAAGGGCCAAGUUUCAAGUUAACCUCCUCCAAACUUUACCAUUCAAUCAAGAUGUUACUCUACUAACAGUCAAUUACAUCACAAGAUGUUACCAUUCUUCUUGGACAAGUUCAUUUUAAAAUUUCAGAAACUACAAAGUGCAUGACUAUAAUUAACUUCACAAGACAACAAUAAUAACAAAGUUACAAAAGAUUCACCAUCCUACCAAAAAACUCCACAGUAGAGAACACAAAUGAAUAGAAGUUAUAGAAAUGAGCUAAAAAAAGCUUCUAAGAGUCCAAAUAUUUCACACGUCACUUUGCAACAAUCACUAACAAAUUAACACUCAUCAUAUAAUCACACAAACAUGCCAGAAACAAAAACAUGCCCACAAACCAAAAUCAAUCAUACCCAGAAACAAAAAUCAAACAAAAUCAUACCCAAAAACCAAAAUCAAUCAUACCCAAAAACAAAACUAAAAACAAAUCAUACCCAUAAACUAAUUUGUACCUUACGUGAAGAGUUCGCAUAAGAGUUCGAAGAAGAGGUGAAGAUCGCAAACAAAAAUGAAUUGGCUAAAAAAUGGUCCCUGAAGAGGUGAAGACCGGCCAUUUCAUGGAUUAAUCAUGGCAUUUCACCAUCACUGGUCCCUGAAGAGGAGAAAUUAGGGUUUAGAAAUUGAAAUUGAAAUUACUCAAAUUAGGGUUUUGAAAAGGGUUCAGUUCACCUUUUGUGUCAUUGUGUGAAAAGAAGAUUUCUGUGAUAACUGAUUAAUUGAGUUGUAAAUUGUAAUGGUUCGGUUCGGUUAAUACCAGUUAAUUGAAUCUAAUAAAAAUUCGGUUCGGUUAGUAAAUCAUCUUCAAAUAACGGUUCAAUUCGGUUAACCAAUGCAGUGAUUCGGUUAAUUUUAAUAUGGUUCGGUUCAGUUAACCGGUUCAGAUUGGUUUUUGGUUAACUUUGCCCACCCCUACUAAUAACAAUAGAUUACGACAUUCAAAGUCCAUUUGUACCAAAUAAAACUAUUGUUUCAAUCAAAAUAAUUUUACAUAUUUUCGCAAACGUCUGCUUCUGCUAUCAAUGUAGAAUUUGCCUUAGAAUUAUCUCACCAAGCACCACUUGAAUCCUAAGUGGAACAGUGUCUUUUUUUUUUUUUUUUUUUUACCAGCCUGGAUGAAGAAAUGCUUCUCCUUUUCACUUUAAAUAAGAGAAAUGCUAGCAAAGCUGAAGACUAGAAUUUAGGACAGUCUGGCAAAGCUGAAAUAUUACAUUAAGAAGGUUAUUUUAAUGUACAGAAUUAGGUUCCAGUGAUAGCAGUCAUGGCACUAGAUACACUAACAAGAAUGAUGGAGAUAGUAUCUUGUUAAUUGACUAAGCAAUAUUGUUCAUCUUUAUGUCCCCUAUACAUCAAAACUACACAAGAAAAAAAAAACAGUAGGAUUUCCCAAUGUCUAUUGGCGCAAUCAUUUGCAGUAUUGCCGAAACUUGCAACAAAGAACAAAGGGCUUCUUCACAACCUACAAUUAAAAUACAUUGAAAAGCAAUAUUAAUAAAUAAUCAAAGAGUGUUUCUUUUUCAAUACAUCUAUCUAUCACGGACAAAAUCAUACUAUCUUGUGAUAAGCAUAAUAGCUAAACUCCAUCAUCGCAUCAGCCGAACAAGAAGAAAUUAUCAGUAUUCUACAAUAAGGAAGAAACAUGGACUCCCUCUUAAACAAUUCAGGUUUAAGUCCAAUAACCCUCAAAUUAAACAUCACAUAAAUUAUGUUACCAUUUUAUAUUUAAUCUGAAUGUUAUCCUAUUAUUAGAUAUAAAUCACAGUAAAUGGUGACAACAUUCACUGUGUAAGUCAAGCAAAUUACGUAAACUAUCAAUUUGUCUGGUUGGCUUAGCUAGCUUAAUCUUGUGAGCAGAAACUUAGGGCUUAUUAACAUUAGAUCUAAAAAUACAUAUAUAAGAUUAUAACUUCUAAGAGCAUCCCCAAUAGAGGGAGCUUACUCAUUCAGAAAUGGUACCAAAUAAGCACCCCAUUGUGGCCUAAUUUCCCAUGGUACCAAACCGGCACAGGUACCUUCAUAGGUUCUCUUUCUCUUUAUUUUUGCAGGUUUAAGGGAUGGGAUGAGAUGCUUAUUAGGCACUUAAGUUGAAAAGUAAAACUAAAUUAUGUAUAGAAAUGAAACCUACUUAAUAACCCCUAUGACAGAAGUUGGGGAAGAGAUUCUCUAAAUAACUCAAUAAACAUUACGAGCAGACGCAAUGGACUUCAUUGAUUUAAUAACUUCCAAAUAAUUUGAAUGUCCUCUUCAUGCAAACAAGCAUUAACUAAACUAAAUUUAUAGUAUCAACCUGCUCAAUGAAAGCAAAAUAUUGAGCUAUUAAAAGAAGCAAAAGCUCGGUUUUGUCAAACGUAAAAGGGAUCUAACACAAAUGCACUGACUUAUAGAAAGGGCACAAAACAAGGCAACUAUCAUAAUUUGAAAGGUAUUCAGCUACAGUAAAGUUAUGAACAGAAUCAACAUAUAUGUCAUAUACUAGAAAAAGACCUGAAUGUGAGCCACGAUGCAACAAAACCCUAGUCUUCCGCCUACACAUAUAUGCACACAAAUUGCUUGUGGGCAGCCACGUUACUUGAAUAAGAAUUACACCCCCUACUUCUCUAACAAUUCAAGCACCUGAUAUAUCAUAUAAUUAUAUAUAAGUUCUCUUUUUACCUCCCAUUGUGUAUGGUCCUCCUAGAUAUAUUUAUCAUAAACUGUUUAGUUACCAGUCAUCAACAGAAAAAAGCAGUAUUAUCAAUGUCAGCUGAUACCAAAAUCAGGUUGAGAGCAUAAUGUUUUUGGCUCUACUUUUCCGCUAAGCACCUACAGGAAUGAAAAGUGACCCAAACACUUAAGUUCAACCUUUAUCUUGUCCUUCAAUCCGUUCAGAAUGAUUUCAGUGAGGUUCUCUUUAUCCAUGAUAUUAAAUCACAUCAAUAACUUGAAGGAUUUGGAUCAUCUUCUUCACUCUCUUCUAUGUCUCUCUUCAUUAAAAAAAAUAAAUAAAAAAAUAACCAAUAGAGAGAGAAAGAGAUAGAGUAAGAUUAAGAGAGUAAGGAGAGACAUGUUGAGGAGAGGAUCCAAUUAAUGCCUCGAUCUAAUUUCUGUAAUUUAGCUCCCUCGUUAACUCAAUUUUACAAUAUGCUUAUACAAGUUCUGCAUCAUAGUGGGAAUACCUGAGAAGCGUGUUCUUUAAGGCAACUCAAUUAGGAUUUGAGACAAGUAUCCCACCAUCAAUAUGAAAGACAACACUUCCCCAUCAAGAGGCGUAGAGUUGCCCGUACCAUGAGCUUAAGCUUAGCAAUCAAUAUGCAAUAGCAGCCUGAUUAAUCUCAAUAAAAUGUACAUAGCUAGGCAAGUGAGGCAAAUAGGUCAUUGUCAUCCGACCACUACCAAGCAUUGUAGCCUUUAUUCACCUUAGACCUUGCUAAGUACAUGUGUGUUUAUUGGAAUUAGGUUACUAUGGACAUAAUUUUUGUAUAGACCAGCUCUUUCUAACUGAUCCAACAUUAGUUGCGUAGCCAUUUUAACAAUAGCUCCGUACUCUAAACAACAUUAUUCGAAAAAAUAAUUAGAGAAGUCAUCCAAUUCAAGACAAUAUCACUAUUAUUUAUAUUUUAAAGGGAAAUUUGUACGAGGGAAGUCAACCCUAUAUACAGACGCAUUCUGGAUGUGUACCAAAACAGAAAAUUUUGGUACAAAAUCUGUCACGUGGGGUAAGAUGGAGAAAAUAUAAAAAUUCAUCUACUAAAUUACUAAUUUAAAAAGCCCUGUACUUUUAGCUGUACAACUUGUACUCAUAUGACUAGACAGUAAUGAACAAUUGGAAACAUCAAUUUAAAUGAGUAUAAAAUUCUAAUUAUUAUUUAAAAUUGCCAGAAAAAAUCCUUGCAUCAUAGUAUAUAGAAUUCAAUUUAUGCUUACAGAAUAUACAUAAUACUUCCAGUAUGGCUGAGAUAACUAAAUAGCACAAAAUUAUUGCAGACAAUAAGAAGCAUGAAAGCAAAGAAGACAAACAAUUCACACGGAAUAAUAUUUAAUUUCAGAUUCCAAAAACAUCAAGUUGAAAGGGGAACAGUCAUGCAAGUAUUGACACCAAUGCCUUAGUAGCAGGAGGUGCUAUUAAUUCCAGCUUAAGCUUUAACGUCAAACAGAUAGUUGAUUCAUAUUUAGAAUAAAUCAACCUCGUUUCGCAUGGAGCAAAACAAAUCAAUGUAUAGGUAAAAUGCAUAAUGCUUUUCUAGGUCGUUCAAUAUUUCAGAUAUGUAACAUUGGCCUGAAAAUCCCUUCUAAAUUCUAAUGAAUGAACUGUGACAAAUAACUAUGGUCCUUACAAUAAAAAUCUUAAGCAAUAGUUGUCAGUCAGUAAGGGAGUCAUAAAGAUAACCUAGUGGUUGGGAGAGCGAGAUACAGGAGCUAGCGGUCAAAUCCAACACUCCAUUAACAUCUUACAAAUCUAAUAAUUUACUAACAUUUGUCUUACCUUAAGAAAAAAUAUCCCUUACUUAGAGUGGCUCUACUUGGGUUAGUUUCUCUCUUAUAGAAACUUGUCAAAUGAGUUAAGAAUUUAGUUCUGAAUGAUAAAGCUCUCAGUCAUAAGUUUAAAGUUGUUUAUGAACUAGUUAGAUAAGAUAAUACAAUUAUACAAAGGGUCAUGUUAACUUGUGCCCUUAGGACACAUGUUAAGCAUUAAUUUCAUUUCAUUAAUAGUAAGAAUUUAAUGGAAAAAAAAUUAGUAUUAAACAACUUGAGUAAUAAAUUAACACAAUUUCCAAUACACAAUUACUAUUAGUGGAAUUCUUAACAUGUGCCCUAAGGCACAAGUUAACAUUUCCUUUAUACAAAAAGUAAUUAGUUAAAAGACCAAGAGACAUUGCAGGAACAUUUUAACAUUUCUUUUCUACAAGUUCUUGAAAAAUUUAUCCGAUCUAGAACCAGAAACAAAGUUGAUGCGUAUAUUAACAUAAAAAUAAAAACAAUAAAUUCAUCUGGGUGUUGUGAAAGUAAUAACAAAUAAGUGUUGAUUAUUUCCAGCACAAUUCAACAAGUUCAAAUUACGAACCUUUCAGUCCAAGAUCAAUACUCUGUUGUCGUCAAUACGCAACCCGACCCAUUCUGGAGGUGGCCAGAACAACUCCGAAGAACCAAGUAAAUCAGAAAAAGGAGAAAUUCGACGUUGAUCCAAAUGAAAAACACCGAUCCCAACCUCAUUGGAAUGAAAAUUGUGAAAAACAUCAUCCCUAAAUAUCACACAGUUCCCAUUGCCAAUACACAAAUCUAAAGCUGAAGCGGAAAAAGCACAAUCUUCCCCCAAAAACAAAACCCUAUCCCCCAAAUUUCUCACCUCCACCCACUUUUUCUCCCUCUCAUCAAGCCUAAACACAUCAAAUCUCACAUCCCUUCCCAUUACAAUCCCAAAAUAAUCAUCAUCAUCAACAUCUAUAACAUCGUAAUCAUUCAAAGAAGAAAAAUACUUAUCAACUAGCAACAACUCACCAUCACUCUCCACCAAGAAUUUUUUACCUCCAUCAAACACAGCCUCUGCCACCAACUCCAAGCUUAAGUCCGGCUCUACCGUGACAGUCCUACCGGUGCCAUCGACAGCAAUAGGCUGCCCAUUGAAGACACAUACAUCAUCAAAAGGCAUCGGCAAUUCAGGAAUUAUCGUCCACAGUUCAUCACCACUUGGUAAAAUUGCAAGUUUUCCAGAAACAUGAAUAGUGAGAAGAACAGGAGAAUGAUCGUUAUAAACAACCGCCUUUUUCUUGUAGAGUGAGCUAAGAGAAAGCGAAUAUUGAGAAGAUUUAGAAGGAAAAUUACCAAUGACAAAUUCACAACCUAGAUCGAUGACACGGUGUUCGUUGAAAUCAAUAACGUGAGGGAAAUGAAGAGUGAGUUGCUUAUCACGUGAGAGAGGGUUCCAGAGAUGAGUUGUGACCAGUCUGGUGCCAUUACUGGAGGAGCUAAGGGAGAGGGUUGCUGCUCAUUCAUUUUCUCUGUGAAAUGUGGAAUGUAGAAGAGGAGGAUGAUGAUUGAUUGACACAGUCACAGGGAAAUGAAAAUGAAGUGCUCCUGGUUCAGUACUUUUUAUUUAUUUUCUUAUAAAAUAUUGGGUUAAUAGGUUUUUAUCCCCUGUCAUUUGGUGGUAUUUUGGUAUAUCCCCGGUAAAAAAAAAACUUGGGGAUUUUCCCCUGUAAAAUGAAGAUUCUUUAGUUUUUAACCCUCGGCGCAUUUGACUGUACACUUAAACAUAUGUGUCGUGUUGAGUCAGCUUUUUUUUAUUACGUGGUGUGCUGACUGUAUAUUUAUUUUAAUUUUUAAUUUUUUUUAUUACAUCAAACUUAUAUAUUUUUUUUUAUUUUUUAUUUACAAUUAGAAAAAAUUGAAAGACAAUUAAAAAUAAACAAGAAUUUUUUCAAUUUUUUUUUAAUUCAAUUCCCAUCUCUCUUCUCUCAUCCAUCUAUUCUUUCUCUCUUCUCUUCUCUGCUCUCGCCCCCCAUCUCUUCUCUUCUUUCCCUUUUAAUCCCAAUUAAUUUGAAUCCAAUCAACAACAACAACAUAGCAAGCAACACUUUCGGAUCCAAUCAACUACAACACACAAACAACCCAUUUUCAAAUCCAAUCAACAACACACAAACAACCCAUUUUCGGUACUAUUCAUUAUCAAAAGCAAAAAUUUGUGUAUUGUUCAUACCAAGAAUAUGUCCCAAAUUCGUGCAAAAAAUUGUGUUUUUGUAAAAGAGAAGAAGAAGCGUGUUCUGGAAAAAGAGAAGGGAGAGGUGGAGAAGAAGAGAAAAAUAUUAUUUUUUAAAUGUUUUAAAUUCAUUAAAUUAAGUUUUUAAUAAAGAAAUUUAAAUGGAAUUAAAAAAAAUUGGAAAAGAAAUAAAAAUGCCAAGUCAAAGUGUCAUCUCAUUUAUCAAUGUACAAUAAGCGCACCACCUAAUUUGUCCAGUCACAUGCUAUCAGGGUUGAAAACCAAAGAAUCUUCAUUUUAUAGGGGGAAUCUCCAAGUUUUUUUUUUUACAGGGGUAUACCAAAAGACCCCCAAAUGGUAGGGGUAAAAGCCUAUUAACCCUAAAAUAUUUAAGGAUUAAUUACCUUUUUGGUCCUCUAACUAUUUAAUUGGUAUCGGUUUGGUCCUCUAACUAAAAAUUGAUUUAUUUUGGUCCUUUAAGUUUAUCACCGUUACUAUAUUUCGUCCUUUCUGUUAGUUUUAAUAGAAGAAACGUUAGGGUUUGUACAACAUCAUCAACAACAGCAAGGAAAAACCCAAAAAUUCAUACACAAACCCAGAACUUCAUAAACAACAAAAAAUCCAAAUUUCAUAACAAGAACCUUAAACAAGAAAAUCAUGUUUCUAUGUAUAACCUAACUCAUCUUCUUCCCAAUAUCCUUUCCAUACAAAUUCCAAAACUAUAUCUCUUUCCAUACAAAUUCCAGAACCAUAUCUCUUUAAAACUCUAUCUCUUUCCAUGUUGUCUUCCCAUUAUUUAUAAUUGUACUGUUGUUGCACUUAUUUGCUUUAAUUCAAACGACAAUUUCAUAUUGAUGCAUGCCUUUUCUUUCGAAUUGAAUUUCUUAGGCUAUGAAUCAACACUGUGUCGUGCCCUUUUGAUUUGUUGUGGUUGUCGUGGCUAUUUUGUUUCAAUGAGUUUGUUUUUUUAUGAAGGAUUGGUGAUGAUGAGUUUAGAUCCGAAAAUGAUUUUUUUUUAAGGAAUGAUGAUGAUGGGUUUAGAUCUGAAAAUGGUUUUUUGUGAAGGAUUGGUGGUGGUGAUGAUGAUAGAUUAGAUUGAAUUUUUGAAUUGGAUCCAAAAAUGGGUUUCUGGAUUUGUAUUUGUAGAAGAAGAAAUGAUGAUGAUGAAGAAUUGAUGAAGAGAUGUUGAUUUGUUUUGCUGAGUUUUUUUUUAUAAGGUUGAUGAAGGUGGAUGGGGAAGAUGAUGAAGAAGUUGAAUGCAGAUGAUGAUUGUAUAAGCCCUAACUUUUUAUUAAUAAAAUUAACGGAAAGGAUUAAAAGUAGUAACUGAGAGAAAUUUAAGGGACCAAAAUAAAUCAAAUUUUAGUUAGGGGACCAAACCGAUACUAAUUAAAUAGUUAAGGGACCAAAAAUGCAAUUUAGCCAAUAUUUAAAGAAACUUCUACGGUACACCUCACAAAUUGAGCUGUAUUGGUAUUCUUUCUCCAUAAAUUUAUAAAUUAACAAUCAUUUUAUGAAAUAAAAAGUUACAUUUUUCAAUAUUUAUAUUUUAUAAGGGAAUACAUGGUUUUAAGAUGAUUUUUUUCAUUUCUAAUCAUACCUUUAAAAAAUGUUAUAUUAUUGGUGUCAUUCAAAAUAUAAGAAUUUAUAUUAUAUUUGUUAUAUUGUUCGUGUCAUUUAAAAAGAUAAGUAUAGUUUAUUUAUAAUUUCAAUCAAAAUGAAAAUAAUUUUAAUCAAAAUUUUAGAAAAAAUAUUGUUCAUAAUUUAUACACACUAGAACUUUUACUCGUGCUACCGCUCGGGUCAUAAACAAUGGAGAAGCUAAUAUAUUGCAAUAAGAUCCAUUACAUAAAAAAAAAAAGUACAAAAUAUUGUAAAAAAAAAAGCAUGAAAUUGGUGCGAUCUAUUUUUCUAGUAUUAAAUAAGUGUACAAAAUGAGGAGGUACAAAAUUAAUUAAUAAGGAUGUACAAAAUAUUGUCAUAAAAAAAAGGCAAGAGGAUAGCAAAAAAACAAAAGGCAAGAGAAUAUGAACGAAACUUUUAAUAAUUAAGGGACCAAAAUGAAACCAAAAAAUAAGUUAGGGGACCAAAAGAGUAAUUAAGCCACUUUCAAAUGUAACAAACUCAACAAACCAUAUUUAUAUUUUUUAAUGAUAACAAUAUUAUAACAAAUAUAACAAAAAAAUAUCUUUUUAAUAACACCAACAAUAUAAGAUUAUUAUAUCCUUAAAAAAAAUAUAAGAUUAUUAUAUGAAAAUUUGUUUAAGAAUAUAACUGAAAUAACAAAAAAGCACACCCAAAAUCUUCCUAAAACCUUUUAUUUUCUGUAUAUAGUAUAGAAUAGAUAUAGAAGAUAAAUGAUAAUAAGAUGUCACGAAUCACGAUAGUAUUAAAUUUUUUAUUUAAUAAAAAGUGGAGUAGCGAGAAAAAAGUAGAUAUUUCUUAAAUAUUAAUGUUAAAAAGAAAAAUAUCAUUUAUAUCCAUAUUUUUUUAACAAUUUUUCUCAUCAAACUUUAAAUCGAUACUAUAAUUGAGAAAAGAUUGUCAAAAAAUUAAUAAUUCAAAAAAGAUAAAUACAGUAUAUAUUUUUUCUUGAGUGGGAAAAGAUAAAUAUAUUGUUUACAAAAGCAAAAAAAUAAAAUAUAAAUAUUUUUAAAAGGAAAAGAUAAAUAUAUUGUUUACAAAACAAAAAAGAUAAAAUAUAAAUAUUUUUUAAAAGGAAAAGAUAAAUAUAUUGUUACCAAAAAAAAAAAGAUAAAUAUUUUAAUAAAGUUAAAAAGUGAGCGAGGUAGUAUAGUAUAAAAGCAAUGAACUAACUGGAUGACACAAAUCACAUAUCGAUUACUUCACUCGGUUAUCGAUAAACUUUCUUCCUUCCUUUUUACUGUACUCUGAUGAACUGAACCCUUGUCUCAUCAAUCUCAUCAGGUACCCUUUUCUUCUUCAUUCCAUCAAUUCUUCACUACCCAGAUUCUAUUUCCUCUUUUUUACUACCUUUGAAUUGGGUCAACACAAAGUUGAAUUUCAAACGACUUCAAUUGAGAUCUUAUUCAACAAUAUUCAAGGUUGAGAAUUCAUUAGUUGGUUAGGUAGAUAUCUUCUUUUGACUUGACUGAUUUGACCUAUAGAUACAGAUUCAUCAACUAUUUCUGUACUCUGUUAGUUAAAAUUGCAUAUAACCUCUGAGACCCUUUAUCUUUUUUAGUAUAUCUGUAAAAGUCUCGAAGACGUAGACACAAUUGAUCGAACUCUGUGAUCUAGUUUUCUAUUUGCCAGCGAUGUCGGAGAAGAGUAGUAUGCUUCCAUCUAGGUUUAUAUUUUAUGUGAUGCUUAUAUGCAUGUUUCUUUUAGUCUUGUCUUCAAUUUUCUUAGUUCAAUUUAGCAGUCAUUCUUUCAUACCGAGAUCGGUUUUAGAGCUUAUUAUUGUUAAUAACUCGUCGUUUUACUUUACGCCUAAUUUUAAGAAGGAGCAAAUAAUACUUCCUACUUUACCUUCCGAGGAUUUGAAAUUUCAAACGUUAAAACCUAGAGAGUCUGAUUGGAAAGUAUCCGAUUCAAGUGAGAAGGGAAUGUCGGUAGGGAAGCAAGUGAAUGUGGUAUGUGACCCGACUAAGGCUUUAUUGAAAGUGUUUAUGUAUGACUUGCCUCCGGAGUUUCACUUUGGGUUAUUGGGUUGGAAGGGAAGUGUGAAUCAAACGUGGCCGGAGGUGGAUAACCCUAGUCGGGUGCCACGUUAUCCCGGUGGACUGAAUUUGCAGCACAGUAUUGAAUACUGGCUCACACUUGAUCUUUUGUCAUCAAAUACUAAGAAGCAUGGCCAACCUUGCACUGCAGUUAGAGUGCGGAAUUCAAGUCAAGCAGAUAUAAUUUUCGUGCCGUUUUUCUCGUCUCUGAGUUACAAUCGGCAUUCUAAGAUACAAGGGGAGGGACAAGUUAGUGUCAACAAAAUGUUGCAGGACAGAUUGGUGAUUUUCUUGAAGGGGCGCAAAGAAUGGAAACGCUCGGGAGGGAAGAAUCAUCUCAUUGUAGCUCAUCAUCCUAACAGCUUGUUGGAUGCAAGAAGUAAAUUGGCUUCUGCUAUGCUUGUGCUUGCAGAUUUUGGAAGGUAUCCUGUUGAGUUAGCAAAUAUCAAGAAAGAUAUAAUAGCUCCCUAUAGACAUUUGGUGGCUACGAUACCAAGAGGUGAAUCACCUUCAUAUGGCGAACGAUCCACAUUGGUGUAUUUCCAGGGGGCGAUAUACAGGAAAGAUGUGAGUUUCUCUUGACCCUCAUUUUAUCUAUUUGAUGCAGCAUUACUCUAUUAUGGAAAAUGUCGUUUUAAUUUGUCAUAAAUUUCUUUCCCUGUUUUAUGCUGGUAUCUAUGAACUUCAUUGGUUAUUUGUGCUCAUUAAAAUUGAAAACUCCCUAGUUUCUGUUGUAUUAUGGGCUCGAACGCAAUGCCAAGGUGCUUUUGCUUCUUAACUAGGCAUCAGGUGGAAUAUAGAUAGAAUUAAGAACUCCUUGGUUGCAACAUUUUUUGUGUGUUAGAUAGUUGACUAGUAAAUCCUUUCGAUAUCAACCAGUAAAUAGCUCACACAUGACUAGGGGUAUAAACGGUUUGGUCAAAACCGACGAAACCGAAAAUCCAAACUGAAAAAAGUAUCCGACCUUGUCUGGUUCGGUUCAAAGCCGAAUCAAACCGGCCUAAACCGGUAUUGUUUGAUUCGGUUCUUGGUUUUUGAUUUUGAGAUCCAAAGAACCGAAAGACCGAACCGAUGCUAACUCACCCCCCAUUUUACUAAUAUCAUCCCAUGUCACACACACUCUUAAGGUUAGACCCAACAUUAAAUCCCAACAGAGAAUACUCCUUAGUCCACUCAUUUCCAUUCACUUUUAUUUUUUAUUUUUAUAGAUUUAUCACCAUUUUUAGAGAUUUAAAUUUUAUACUAAUCAACCAUUUGGAAACUCCUCUUAAUGACUGUAAGAAAAAGCUUGUCAUUAUUGACAUCAACGAGAUAAGAAAAACAAAACAUAUAUCGUCAAUGUGUUGCUUUUGUGUUUGUAGAUUAAUUGAAGACAUGAUUAGUCAUUUUGUAUAUUGUUGUCUUGUCUAGUAUCUGAGCAUAUUGAAGGCAACUUUCAUUACAAAGAUUGUUUGACACACUUGGUAAAGAGAAAUGUUAAGCUUUAACAUUUUGUUAUUUGUUUAAUAUAUUUUGUUUGUGGUUAUUUCAGUUCCACUCCAACAAAAGGUCAUAAUACCAUUGAUUUUAUAUGAUAUAUUUAUGUUCUAUUUAGUUCUGAAGUUAAAGUCAUGUAUAUGCUAAAAUGGUUUAGUUUCUUUUUUCCCAUAUGCAAGUUCUUGAUAGUACUGCACUUUUUUUACCGGUAUUUCAGAUUUAGACCAUACCAUGUGCAUUUUGUUUGUGUAGAAAUUCAGAGUUAUACUAAUCCAUUAAAUCUGAUAUUUGUAUUUUCAAAAUAUGGAUUUUUUUAAGAAAAACUGAUGAACCGAACCAAAUCUAAUCAAACCAAACUGGUUAGUUGGUUUCGGUUCAAUUUUUGAAAAACAGUAAAAACCGAACUAACCUGAAGUAGAUUUCGUCGGUUCUGACAUUUUUUUGACUGAAAGCCAAUAAGGGGGUGUAAAGGAAGAGUUUCAUCCCAAGUCCUUGCAUUCUCCACCAAAUAAGGGUGACAAAUGUUUAUUUAAAACAAAAGACGAAGUGCGUGUGUUAACUUAAUUAACCAUUAUGUGCACCUUCCUGGUUUCUAUUGUAUUAUGGGUGCGAUGUCAAGGUGCUUUACCUUCUUUACUAGGCAUCAGGUGGAAUUUAGAAUUAACAACUCCUUGUUGUUGCAUUAUUUUUGGCCUAGAUAUUUGACUAAUAAACUCAUGCAGUAUCAAGAAGUGAAUAACUCACACUAGUAAACCCAUUCGGUAUGUGUAGGCUGUGAGUCACACAGCCUACACAUACUAAUGCACUCACAGGACACCUUGGACCUGAUCAGUGCAUAAUGGCAGGAUUUGAUCCCAGGUCCUUGCACUCUUCUCAGCGUCAUCUUGUCACAGAUUUUAUGAGUAAAGAGAACUUGCACAUGAAAACAUUCUACUCUGUACCUCUUUUAGGAACAAUCUCCAUGUCAUUCUCCUCCCAAAUUUUAAAUCAGAGGAAUCUGGAUUCACCUCUCCUGAUGUAUGUUUAAAUGACACAUACAUCUCUCUAUUUUGUAAAAGAAUUUGAUUUGAUGUUCCCUUAAAUACACAUACUUUCCCUUUAUUAAUAUAGAGGAUGCGCCAUUCAAAUGGAAUAAAGGGGUGAUGUGUGACAUUUUCCCAACAAAUAAGGGUGAUGAAUGUGCAUUUAAAAAACAGAAGGGGUAUGUGUGUAGAUUGUAGAUCAAAUGUUUAUAGAACUUUUAAAAGCAAUCAAGAUAUAAAUAGCUGUGCAAUUGAGCUGAUUCUGGUAAAUAUACAAUGCAUUGAUUGAAUAUAUAGUAAUUUAGAACACGAACCAGCACAGGACGGACCGCUAUACCUUGUGUAUACAAGCUUUGAACUCUGGUGUUGCAAGUUGAUCUUGCAUUUGCAUGCUCUGCCAAUGUCAUAUAGAACUUUAAUGACUGGUUUUUUUUGCUGAUUUUAGUAUGAUUUUUUCUGAGCCUAUCUAUUGUUGUAUAUUGAGCAAAUGAUAAGGAUUACUGAACAAUUUAUUGGAAACUUAACAUUUCCUGCUAAUAUUGCUGUUUGAAAAUUAUUCUGUUGACAUGAUUUCUGCAGUUUCUUUUUAUCAAUAUUAUCCUUUAACAAUUUUAAUGUAUUCUAAUUGGUUGACUAUCAUGUUGAAACAAUAGGGAGGAGUUAUUCGCCAAGAACUGUAUUACCUCCUCAAAGAUGAGAAAGAUGUACAUUUUACAUUUGGGAGCAUAGGAGGAAAUGGUGUUAAUCAGGCAAGCCAGGGCAUGUCCAUGUCCAAAUUUUGCCUUAACAUAGCUGGAGAUACUCCGUCUUCCAAUCGACUCUUCGAUGCCAUAGUAAGCCAUUGUGUUCCCGUGAUCAUCAGUGACGAAAUUGAACUACCAUUUGAAGAUGUUUUGGACUACUCAGAGUUUUCCGUAUUCGUUCGCGCCGCCGAUGCUGUAAAGAAAGGGUACCUGCUGAAUCUUCUUCAUUCAAUCAAACGCGAGGAAUGGACCAAGAUGUGGGAAAGAUUAAAGGAAAUUACAAAUCACUUUGAGUAUCAAUAUCCAUCCCAGCCUGGGGAUGCAGUGAACAUGAUUUGGCAAGAAGUCGCGCGUAAGAUAUCUUCUAUGCAGUUCAAUUCACACAGGAAGAACAGAUACAAUAGAUCUCAGCUUCUUGUCAAGAGUAACUGAAUUACUAAGAUUCAUGUUUUAUCGGAAUAAUUUGAUCUUGGUCACAUUCAACAUAUCAAUGGGAGAGAAACAAGAACAAAUCUUGUUUCUGUUAUUUGCAACUAGCAAGCUUUGUACCCUCCCUCUUCACUCCUUUUUUUUCUUUGCCAGUGUUGCUCAUAUUGUUAAUAAAUUUUUUAAGUCAAAACAUGCUGCAUUAUUUGGUAUUUGAAUUUGGGAAAAUAAGAAAGGUUUUUUUUCUUCCCAUUAAGGGAAGGCUGCUAUUUGAAAGUAUGAUUUUACUGUUUGGUGAACAUUAUUUGGCAUUCAUUGAAUGGAAGAAACUUUUACCUUUCAUUUACCAUGUCUCAGAAUGGUAAAAAAGGAAAACUUAAUGUGUCAAUGGAAGAGUUGUGUUACUUUGACACAAAAAUUGACAUUAAAAUUCGACAAAAAACUAAAUUGUUAACAUAGUUUAAAUAUGUGGUUAUGAUUAAUAAAUAUAAGGUGUUACAAUUCAAUAACCAUUAGCUGAACACAGUUGAUCAUGAUUUUUAACGCCAUUAACUACAAUUUUUUCGGUGUUCAAAUAUAGAUUCUGUACGGUCUGGAUUCAAAUAUACACUUGGAAAUUGUGGUUAUUGGCAUUUAAAAUUAUGAUUAACCCAUUGAUUCAAAAGCGAAGAUUGUUAAUCCUCCCAUUGAUUCGAAUUUGAGCAUUGUUGAACCCGAAAUUGGUGAAUCGGAGGUUAGUAACUGUAUUAUGCUUGAAACAGGGUCAAGAUGACAAAAAAAAUGUUAUACAUGUUAUUUUCAUAUAGAAAAGAAGAAAGAGAAUUCCACUAUAUUUUGUAUAGCAUCCUUCUUUUGUAUUUGAUAGUCAAUAAUAUGAUCAAACUUUCUAUAGAAAAAACAAAAAAAUCAUCAAAAUAUCCAUCUACUGGUCUAAUAUCUUUACACAAUCAGAAUGAUGGUGAUACAAAGAUGAGCUUUUAGCUGCAAUUCUUCACCUUACACAGAAACUUAACAAAUCUAAUAAACUAACCAACCUUGGAAGAUAAUCUACUAAGAAAGGUUAUUGCCAUUUGCCAAAGCAUUUCAACUUCUAUUGUGAAUUGGGUUUGACCCUUUUUUCACUGUCCUUUUGUUUGAUUGAUUAGCAUCAAAUGUCAUUGAAGGUGAAGGUGCCAAAUCCAUCUUUGAUUCCAAACCCUCCAUUGCAUCACCCUUUAAGACAUGAGAAAUUUGAACAAGAUCUUUUGUUCUCAAACCACAUGCAAUGUAUGGUUGAGAAGCUAACAUCCAAACACAAACUAAAAUAAAGAAUCCUCUCAAAACUAAGAAACUCAUGUUCUUUUACUAAUGAAAAUUUGAAGAAACAAAACUAGAAAAAUGAAAGUUACUAACCUACUUCUUAUUGUUCAUGAUGAUAUAUUUUCUAUGGGAUUUGGAAGUUGUAAAGCAAAAAGCAUAGAACAAUAUAUGUAGCUAGGGAAGUUUUAGAUUCACUCCAAUCAUAAGCAUGCUAUAGAAGCAAUCAAUAUAUAAGGCUGUUUUAGAAGACUGACAAGUUUGAAUAAAAAGUUAAAUGGAACAAUAUCCUAUGGAAGACAAGUAUCUUUUCAUUCAUCAGUUUUCCUAAAUUCCUUUCAAUUGUGAUUUUCUUGCUCUUUUCAUCCAAACAAAGACCAAGCUUUAUCUAGUACUAACACUUUGUUAUUAUGCCACGUCAAUUUUACCUUGUUUACAUGUUCUUGUACCAUACUUUGAAGAUUUGCUAAUUCAUGAGAUAAAUUAUUCUCUACGUAUUGCCUAGUUAAACAAGCAGCCUUCUGCAUUGAUUUUUUUUUUCCAGGUAGUCUAGUGGCUAGAAUUCACCUUAUAAGGUGAAUAAAUGGGAUGUCUGGGAUUUGAACCCCGACCCCUGCAUAUAAUAAUGCAUUGUCCACCAACUGAGCUAUGUUCACGGGACCCUUCUGCAUUGAUUUUAUUGGAACAUUUUGUAUCUCUAAAACGUUCCAUUAUAAAUUGAGCGGGUUAAAAUCUUAUGUUUUGUUUGAUUUUGAUUACAUGACGUGGAGAUCGAAUCCUUCAACAAAUAUUUGGAUUUUGUAACAAAAAAAAGCCGUCAAUUUAGUUAGGAAAUUAUAUUAAAAACUUAUCUCUAAAAUAUCAAUCUCUCAAAUUUAGUAAUUAAGUAUAUAAAGAUUAUCCUUAAAAAAAAAAAGUAUAUAAAGAUUAAAAAGUAAUCCCUAAAAUACAUGAUAAAUUAUGGUAUCUAUAUAUAAAGAAAACUAUCCCUUUCGUCACUUUUGGGUUGAAUUUUUCUUUCCAAAAAUAUCCUCAAUUUUCAAUACAAAUAACACAUGUAACGAAUGGAUAAGAAUAAAUUUAAAUAUUAAAAUAAAUGUAUAAAACACGAUAUGAAUAUAUAUAUAUAUAUAUAUAUUUUUUUUAUUUUUAUUUUUAUCAUUUAAAAAUUGUAACAAACUAGAUGAGUAUAUUUAUACUUACUUUUUCAUCAUUUCAAUUAUACCCUUAAACAACUUUUCUAUAAUAAAAUUGUUGUUGGUGUCAUUAAAAAAAAAAGAAUUUAGAUUAUAUUUUUUUGUUAUAUUAUCGAUGUCAUUAAACUAAAAUAAUCAUGAUUAAUUUGGUUUGUUAUAAUUUGAAAGCAACAAACAUUUAUAUUUUUAGUCUUAAUCAAAAUUUCAUAAAAAAACACUGUUGAUAAUUUUCGCCUAUGAAUCAUAAUGUUUACCUUAGUGGAAAUAGUUUAAAAGUUAAAACAAAUAAUAGGCGUCACCCAAAUUGGCUUGGUGUAGCAACCAAAACAAAAUAAAAGUACAAGUCAGAGAUUCAUUUAGAAUGUUAUUGCCAAAGAGACAAGAAAGACAUCAAAAGUAGAGAAUUUUGGAAGAAGGUAGGGAAUAGAAACCACUCUUGAAAAUACAGACCAACCAAUACCAGGCUUUCAUGUUUCCAGCACUUUUUUUAUCCUAACAAUCUUUAGAAUUCCAAGCUCUUCAAUCUAUGCCAUAAAAAAACGUAGUCAUGGUUCAUUGUGCUAAAUGGAAUUCCUUUAUGCCUUUUUUUGUUUUUGUUUUAAUUAAUUACUACAUUAAAGAAUUGUGUAUAGUGAUAAAAUUCACUAAAAUGAUUUUCUUUAGUCUUAAUUUAUUUAUUGUUAUGUUAAUAAGUGUUUUAGGGUAUUGUUUAAGAAAUCUAUUUAAAGAAGUAUCAACAAUUAUAUUUAGACAUCUGAAAUUCUCAAACACUCAUUUAACACCUCAUUUUUAUCUUUAUGUCUAUCAUCCUAUCAAAUCAUCAACCUAUCACGAUUAUCAUAUCACUCUCUCCUAUCUCUUUUUCUAUUAAGGUGUAUACACAUUUGGGGUGUCCUGGUGUCCAAAACAAAAGAAGAGUGGACCAAGUCAACUCUACCAAAAAGAUCCGACACAGGAAAUCAGAAGACAUAUUUCCCAAAAUUCCGCCCAAGAGCACCCAAGAAAGCCCCCCAACACAGACGGUUAUCAACUCUAGUAGAAAACUAGCUCCACCACAUACUCGUAGUGAGAACAAGGUGAAUCAGGGUGACUCCCAAAAAAACCAAAACCACAAAGAGAAUUGGAUCUUUGAUUCCUCCACAUCUAGUGCUCCACCAGAAAACACAAGGUUAUUACGGGCUGUCAGAUAAACACACAACAAUAUGCGAGAUCAAAAAAAGUCAUGCUUAACAUUAUCUCUCCCAACAAACCCAAGGAUCCCCUAAAAAAUACAAACCAAAUCCCAAGGCAAAACAAAAAAUCUACCUAGCCACCUAAAAAUCCUACACCAUACCUCAAAGGCAACCUUAUACAUAACAAAUAGAUGAUCCACCUACUAAUUUGAAACCCCAUAAAGAGCACAAAUCACACGCGCUGGAUCGGUAAUAACACCUACACUUUUAAAGGGUCCUAACUCUUCCACACUCUCGCAAGCAGAUGGGCCAACUUGACACUUUACCUCCCUCUCCCCCAAAACUGCCAACAAGAGAGAUCCGUACGAAGACCAAAUUGAAUACACCCCUUUAUAAGAAAACCUCCAUGACCAAGAGUCGUCCCAACCAACAGCACCUUGCAUCGAACACAACCAAUAACUCAACAACUAAGGCUUGUUUUUGGACAAAAAGCCUCCGUCUCCACCUUAGAUCCAAAAAUGUCAAGUAAAGAGGAGGAUCAAAUGUAAAAUCAUUGAAAAUAAGGGGGUCAAAAUUUUUAAAAAAGCCAUAGGAGGACAAAAUUGUGGAUUUAAUAAAAUAGAGGACUACAUUUAGUCAAAUAAUUAAUAUAAACCAUAUCCACAAAUCUCUUAACUACUAGACCAUCCUCUUUGGCAAAGUAUGUGGAUAUGAAGUAUCAUUUAUAUAAAAAACAUUGCUUAGGAAAUGGAGGAGGAAGUCUUGCCUAGUUCUAAAGAUUUCACUACACCAUUUAGACAACCACAAAUAUACAUUUCAUUUAAUUAUUUAAAACAUAGAUAUUAUUUAAUUAUUUUCUCUUAUCCGUUUAGGUUAGUCUGAUAGUGUUGACUUAAGAUCUUGGAGUGUGCUCCUCGACCUUGAAGUAUGCUCCUCUCAAAAUCACAAGAUCGAUUCCCCCAAUGGUAAUUUUGGUGGAUUAGUUUAUCUUAAAAAAGAAUUAUUUUCUCUUCAUAUCUUUUUCUCAAUUGCGUAUGUGUAACCAAGUAGAGAGUGUAGUUCUUGUGACCAAAUAAAUAUUUUUUGGAAUGGAGAUACUUUACUAUGCAUACUCUCUAUUGAAGUAGCCGCUGACUUUUAACAUUAAAAUAAGAGGAGGUCAUAGAUCGCAUAAAACAUUGUCUUGGUCUUGGUUCAUUUUCUUUUUUUGCAUUAUUCGGGAAGAAAGAAAGGAAUAAAAAUUUAGUAGUAUUUUCGAAUUGAUAUAUUGUAGCACUAUGACAUGAUAUAUUUUGGCUCAUUUGUGUUCUCAUUGAGAUGGUGUUGGAAAACAUACUUUGCCAAGUUGUUUUUAUGUUAGUUCAGGGUGGGUGUUUGUAGGUUAAGGUCUUUAUAGUACUGAUUUUAUUUGAGGUGUCAUAAAAUCUCUUCCAUCGCAUGUGCGAUUUGAGAAAGUCUUGGGUAGGCAUACACAUAAAUCUACAAAAUUAAAAGAUAAAUUAAAUAGUCACAUCAAUCAAUAUCAUUUUAAUCAUUUUUUUUUUUAUAAUUUUUUUAACUUCAUGGACAUGUGCCUAAAUGUAAGAUGUUGGUCCUGUGAUCAAGUAAGAGUUUCUCCUACAUUUUACUGGAUUAGUGGCUGACAUUGGAUUUUCCCCUCAAAUAUUCAAAUGUGUGGAACUCUAAUGUGGAUUCCCUAACAUAUAGUUCCUUGUUGAAGGUUUAAUAAACCAUUUUUCAACACAAUUUCUACAUUUGUGUCGUUGACCUAUAUUUAAAAACACUGGUUAACAUUUUGCAAUCAAUUUAAACUAGAGAAAGACAAAUAACAAAGACAAUUUAUUAAUUAAUAAUAGCAAAGCCAGUUUAGUAAUCAAUCAGCCCUCUUGUUUAAGAGAGAGGUUACAUACAUAUUUCUUAAUUGAAGUUAACGAUUUCAUUAACUUCAUUACAGAGAACAAUUAUAUUUAGUCCCGAUGAUAACCUAUUAGUCGAAGAUACUAUGAGUCCAUUUGAGUUGGUCUGGUAGUUUUGAUUUGAGAUUUUAAAAUGUACUUCUCUUAAGAUCUCAACUAUGGUUCUUCCUGAAUUUCAAUGACUAUUUUGCUUUCUUCAAAAUAAAAGUAGAAGAUGCUAUAUGGCAAAAAUAAAUAUUAUGUGGCUAUAGUUCCACUUCUUUGAUUAAUACUAUUAAAUCGUACUAAAUUAAUGAUCAUAAUUUGUUUCACUUUCAAGGGCAUUUUGGUCCUCCACGCUUGGUCUUCCAAUUGUUGUAACAGGGACACACAGAUUUGUUACCAUAAUAGCCAGGAGGAACACAGAGACAUUUGGCACAACAUUUUUGACAGAAGAACAUGCAUGGCUUGUGAUAUUGUGUCUGUCCACAUCUUCUUGUGCAUUGAGAUGGACACUCUGAUCAAAUCAAUUUCACAAACAUAAAUCCAUUAGAUACAAUGUCUCAGAUUAAUUGAUUAUUGUUACUUGUUUUUUGUUGAGCAUACAAACAUAAAUAUAGGUCAAUAAUGGUCAAACAUAUAUAUUCUUUUUAAAUUACUUGGUGUAUUUUACUAGCUAAAAGUUUUUAUUAGGUCACCUUUCAAGAAUUUUGGGUAAUUUAUCCACCAAAGAAUGAAAAUUAGCCACAUAAACAAAUAUGUAAGUGCAGUUAAAAUUAGUUUGCAAGUAUGAUUAGGUAAAGUGGCAAGUGCAUUCUGUGUGUCCAAUAGGAAAAAAAGUAAACAGUAAUUUUAUCCUAAGAUAUAUAUUUAAGAAGAGUGUUAGAAACAUUUUAUUUUUAAUGUUUCUCUAACAUUGAUUUUUUUAAUGGAUGAAAUCAAUAAAAUCUAUACUUUGAAAAUGAAUCACACCAAAAAAAAAGGUGGAAUUCAUAUACAUUUCAAUCAAUAAAUGAGUAAAUGUUUGAGACGGUAUUAAAAAGAUAGCAUUCUUAACCUUUUUCUAUUUUCGAUUAUAUUUUUUUAUUCCAUACAUGACGAAAUUUCUUUAAAUUGCAUCUUUCAUUUAUAGACACAAGUACUAAAAUGACUAUUUUACUCUAAAAUAUGAGAGAGAUUUCAAAAACAAAGAAUAAGUGGGGGUUGAAACUUAGAAGAAAAAUUAAGUACAAACUAAAUUUAAAUCAAAGAAAUUUUAUAAAUAUUAAAAGAGUUUUUCUAUCAUAUGCAAGUUUGCAUAUGUUAAGAAGUUAAAAAAGUAAGGUUGUAUUGAAACCUGUUCAUUUAAUAUUAAAUAUGUAUAUUUUUAAUAAAUAAUUGUGGUUUUCAAUAAAAAGUUUUCACUUUCAGUUAUUUUAAGAUGUGUAAUAUUGCACAUAUUAGACAUACCUAUGUUUCACAGUAAUCCAUAAAAAGCAUGUUUAACUGUCUCAUAAUUAAAGAAAUUUAACGAGUUAAAACUAUAAGAGUUCAUAAUGCAACUUGCAAGGCCACAUCUUUAUGUACAAAAUUAAGUUGGUCUACAAAAAUGGAGUAUGAAUAUAUGAUUUACUCACGGUAACUUUGUAGACUCCCAGGUCCAUAAUUCCCCUGUAAAUAAAUCGAAAAAAAUUAGUAAAAAAACUAAUUUUAAGUAAAAUUUAUGCAACUUUUGCAAAAUGCCUAUAAAAGGAACUAGGAAAGAAGUGGAGAAAGGAUACUCACACUGCCAUACUGAGCUGCAUCUUUAGCCAUAACCUGCAAAAUGUAUAGGAAAUUUUUAGCAAGAUUAUUCUUUUAUUAUGAUUAGAGUAUCAUACAUAACACAACAAUGAUACACAUUCAUGUAACAUGGUUGUGUGUUGAGUUGUUUUAGAAGGGGACUAACCUGAGUUGUGAUCAUGGCAAUGCAAAGGAGUGCUAGAAACAGAACACAAACAAGCUUAGCCAUGGCUUUGGUUCAAGAUAAUGAAUGAGGUGAGGGGCCUCUGAUUUUAAGAGUUCUUAAUGGUUUGGUGUGUUUGGUCUGGAUCAGAUAGAGGGGUUGUAUGGACUAUAAAUAGGAAAAGUGGAUGAUUGAUGUACCCAAGAAGGGUAAAUUUUGGUGGGAACACACCCCAUUUAUUAUUUAUUUAAUAUAUAUAUUUUCAAAAUGUUAAAAAUUAUUUAUUUUUAAAUUAAUAAAGCAAUGGUGGCGGGAGGCGGUGACUACGAUAGGGCUAUAGGAGUUUUGCCGUCGACCACCAUGGCAUGCCAGAGCACUGAUGCCGGUUGUCGCGAGGCCACCUAAGCUCCUUUUGAAAUGUCAUCAAACCUCUUCCGACAGCUGACCAAUGAUAGAGUGUCAAUAGAUGAAUGUAGACCUAUCAUUACUCAAUGAAAAUGAAAAACAAUUAUAAUUUUUUUUUAAGAAUGACAAAAGAAAAAAAAAACCCUAAAAACAAAGUUCAAUGUAGGGUAUCAAGCCUCAACACCGACUUCAACUCCGAUGGAGGAGUCUGUCAAAUGGUCACACAUAAUCUAGAAGAGCGACCGGGUUUUGCCAAAAUAUCUGGGCAAUGGUUGAGUGAUCCGGAUCUUGAAGAAGAUGGAGAACUUUUAAAGAAUAUGUUUCACAAAUAACUCGCUGAAUAGAGUUGUUAAUUACCAACAUCAAACCUUGGUAAACCCCAAAUAGCUCAACAAAAAACACACCCCUACCCCUCAUUAGAAGAGAAUCCAACUAUCCACUUUCUCUUGUUGUCACAAAGUAAACCACCAAAACCAAUGUCACCGGAAGCACCACAACUUCCAUCAAUAUUCAACUUAGCACAUCCAUCUUGAGGUAGGGUCCUUCUAACAAUGUUUCGAUUAAUGUGGUGCUUAGAGGAGUGAAUAUUAAUAGAAGUUAUGUGGGUACACAUAAUGUUUAUAAAAUGAAUGAUAUUUUGGAUUUUCCAUCGUUUGUCUCCAUGAGUAUAAUUAUUUCUAAAACGCCAGAUCCACCAAAUAGUUAUUGCAAGCAUGUUACCCAAAGAUCCUUUAGACACAGUUUGUAACCAUAUUUUCAAAGGAUGUGAAGCUAAAGAAAUAUGGAUGAUUAACACUACAUAUAUGUUUCCAAACUUCAUUCGAUGGAGAAAAUUCCCUAUGACAGUGAAGCACAUCUUCAUCAUGCGUUCAACAUCAUUGGCAAAUAUGAGAAGUUACCAAGUUGUAGUGAUGUCGAAGCUUGUUUGUUGGGAUCACAUUGUGCAUCCAAAGCCAAGGGAAAUGUUGCACCUUAGCUGAAAUUGACAAUUUUCAAAUUCAAUCUCAACUUUCAUUAUCAUUCAACUCUCUAUAACGAGGUAAAAGCCACCUAUAUGUUGUAGAGCAAAAAUACAUUUCUGUUUGAGAAGCUCCCCAAACCCAUAUAUCCUGAAUAUUAUCAUCAAAUGCCAAAGGUGGGGGAAAUUGAUCAACAGUCGUCAUGAGCUCGUUUGAAACGAUUGUCAUUAGUUUAUUCCAAUCCCAUGAUCUAAUAAAACUAACAUCCUUAAGCUAUAAUUAUGUAUCCGAAAAGUUGACAAAAUCAAUCAAGUAACAAAGCGAUCCUAACCCCAUCCAGCUAUCAUACAAAAAUGAGAAGGAUCUGUCACCGAUGCAGAAUUGAAAGCAUUGUCUCAAGACUUCCAGAUUGGCGAAAAAUUUACUUCAUCUUUAAUGUUCCAAAUGUCUCCCCGUUUUAUGUACUUGUGAGAUCCAAAGAUUAUGAGGAUCAAAAAGAAGUUCCAAACUAACUUCCCAAGAAGAUCAAUAUUAGAUAGUCUAGCUUCCCUAAUAGUGAGGCCUCUAAAUUUAUUAGAGGAAGUAACAAUAGACCACUUAACUCUAUUCCACUUCCUAUUACGACCUGUGUCAUCCCAAAUACAUAUUUUUGUGACUCUAUCGUCUUAUCAUAAAUAUUUGUAGGUAAAUAAUGCAUUUACAUAACAUAAAUAGACAUUGUUGUAGUAACCGAUUUAACUAGGCAACCCCCCCCCCCCCCCCACACACACACACGCUUUAUUAAGGAGAUUACCUUUUUAAGUUGAGAGUCUUCUAUGCAUCUUCUAUUGAGAGUCUUCUAUGCAUCUUCUAUAAGAUAUAAUCAUAUGUAUCAUUGAUAAACUUGUAUCAAAGGAAAACCCAAGUACUUCCCCCAAAUUGGCCACGAAAUGGAUAGAGGAGAUUUCUUAAUACUUCGUUUAACACUCUUAUGCACUCUCUUAAAACACAUAGCCUUGGACUUUAGGACAUUUACUUUCAUACUAGAAGGAAUACAAAACUCAUUUAAGGUGUCCAUCAUCACUUUAGUUUGACCUGGUGGCCUCACAAAAGAGAAGAACAUCAUCAACAAAACAAGGUGAGACUAACCUGGAACUUUAUGAGAUUAAUGCAUGUUUUGAGAACAAUAGUAAAGGAAUCGCAAAUAAUAAUUGUUACCAAAAUUCGAAAUUAAAAUAAAAUGCACUAGGUUCGAAAUUGAAGUAGCAGAUAUGAUAAUUGAAAUUAUAUGGAAUAUUGGGUUAAAUAUGUUUUUAGUUCCUCUUGUUUUUUAAUUUUACUUUGUCUUUUAAAAGUUUUCUAUCACCAUAUUUCUAGUCUUUGCUUUUAAAUCAACUCAUGUAUGUCAUUCAAAUUUUGAAUAUUUUUUCGCAGCCAUGUUUAAUACAUUAUAAACUCUCUCGCAAAAAUUUAUUUAUUUUUUAAACAAAGGAUGAAUUAAAUGUUUUUUUAAUGUUUUUGGCGCUUAAGAUUCAUAUUUAAUUCAUGUUUCUUAGAAAAUUAUAAUUUUUUUUGGAGAUAUUUUUAUAAUAUUCUAAACAUUGCUGCAAAAAUUCAUUAAAAAAUAUGAAGGGCGCACAUGAUCACAUGACUUAAAAGAAGACCAAAAGUGUGGUCCGAAAACUUUUGGAGGACUAAAUAUUGAUUUUUUUUUAAGGGGUUAAAACAAAAAGGUGAAAUACUUAUAUAGAUCAAAAACAUAUUUAACCAUACCUUUUAUUAUUUAUUACUCUACCUUCAUCCAGUUCUUUUAAUUUAUCAUUUUUAUGUCAUUAAUAAAAGAUAAUUUUGUAAUAUUAUCCAUAAUUUCAUUUUUUUUCAUAUAUAAUUAAUUACAUUUCUAAAUGAGAAAUAAUAUUUCCACAACUAUUUUAAGACAAAAUUUGAAACAACUUUUUUCCCUCUUUUCUUGGGAGAAAAAUAAUAUAGAGAGAAAGUAAGGACACAAUGAAAAUAUGAAGGAGUUGUCCUAGGAUAAUUGUACAAAUAUCUUAUAAUUUCAUUUUUUUUCCAUACAUAAUUAACUUCAUUUCUUUUUAUUAAUGCGUGUAAAAAUGACAUACAAUAAAAUAUAGAGUAAAAAUGAUCGAGAAAAAUGUGCAAAUGAAUGCGAUAUUUUUAUUAAAUUAUCUUUUAUAUAUUGAUAUAAUCUCAUUAUAAUCAAUUGAGAAAUACAGUGGAUAUCUCCCAAUAGUGACAAGAUGAGAAAGAGGUUAAUACUUUGAAGAUAUUGCAUGGGAGGCCGAUCACAUGGGUAGUUGGGGGAGUUGUGGGGUCGAAAAGGAUGAGGCAUGUUAUUAUAAUUGAAUUGAAAGGGAAAUAGGCAUAAGCCAUGUGCUCUAGUGGAUUUGCACAUCAUCUCAUAGAGAGGUCAAAAGAAGGACACGAGGGUGCGCCAUGAACAGUACUAUCGAACUUCCACAUGAAUCGAGCACAAUAGGAGUGUUGUUGUUCAUAGAAACACGUAGAAAUGGCUAAAAAAUUCAACGGUAGUUAACUACUUUCAAAUUUUUAUUUAUAAGUUGGUAGUAGUUAAUUACUGUUGGAAUUUUUUUUUAUCAUUUCCAUGUAUUUUUAGAAAAUAAUGGAUGUGAAAACAACAAUUUUCGCACAAUAGACUAUUAGAUGAACUUCAUCUCUUAUGGACUCUCUAUUUUUCUAUAGGCCUUUUUUUCAAAUGGUUAGGAAUUUUGCUCAUUUCACUUCAAAAAUUUCUCGUUUUUUUUUUACAAAAUUCAAAAAUUUCUCUUUUAACACCUAAAAAAAAAAAUACUAAAAUACCUGUAGCGGCAUUUAACUGCCGUUGGGGCCCUCAACGUUAGUUAACCACCGUUAUACUAACUACAGUUAACUGUCCUUGAAUUCUAACGUCAAUUAACUACCAUUGCACUCUAGUAACAUGGGCAGAACAACAUUAUAGACCGAAUUGUUUAGCUUUAGGUUGUGUUUUUGAUGAUGUGCUUUAGGUUGUGUUUUUGAUGAUGUUAGUUAGAUGAUCUUAGACGAUGUUUGUUAGAUAUUUUUUAUAAUUGUUUUCUUUUGGUAUUAUUGCUUACAACUAUGUUAAAGCACCUAACAAACCAUGCCUAAUUAUACCCUGUGACUCCUAAUGUCUUUUGUGUUUAUGUGCUUAAGAAUCCUCAUGUGUGUGUGUGUCAAAAUCCUUUUUCUAGGCAUUUGAAUCGAGUCAAAUAUUUGUGAAUUGAGUCAAUAUUCAUUUGGAAACAUUUGAAUCGAGUCAAAUAUUUUUGAAUCGACUCAAAUGUUGACAGCAUCAAAUUUUCCUUCUUCCCUGCUUAAAUCGAUUCAAAUUUCAGUGAAUCGCAUCAUAAAAUUUUCUGACUUUGAUUGAAUCGAUUCAUAAGAGUUUGAAUCGUAUCAAUCUUCAUCUGGGGAUAUUUGAAUCGAUUCAAAAAGUGUCUGAUGCGUAUAAAUCUUCAUAGCUCAUAUGGCUUGUCAUUUAGCUGUCUAAAUCGAUUCACACAUUAAGUGAAUCGAUUCACUAUGUUGUUUUUGGCCGAAAUUUUGCACCUCCCACCCUUUUCUAUAUAUACACACUUCCUCGUAACACCCAAAACAUUGAAUCAUUUGCAUCUAUUCUCUCUAGGUCUCAAAAACUCAAUUGUUCAUAAAUUCUUCAAGAUUAAACACUUUUUCUUAGAAUCACUUUGUACAUUGAGUUACACUGAUUUGCUAGGGUGCUUAUAGGGAUUGUAAGUUGGUUCUUUCAAGGGAAUUGGUUGGACUUGAAGGUUCCAAAGUGAAGUGAAUAACCUCAUUCCACCUCCAAAGGGCUUUGGGGUCUUUCUAACUGUUCUUGAAGUCAAAGGGGAUUCCUUAACCAGACGUAGCAUCGAAGAUUUCAGUGAAGAGUUCGAAGGAGUGCACAGGUAAUCAAGGAUUUGAAGAUUCAAGGAGCACCAAAUUCAAAGGUUAUUUGAAGUUUGGGGGAGUGUUUGCAUAGGGGUUGAAGAAUUAGUUUAAUUUCAAGGAACCCUUGUGAACACAUUGUAUUCAACAUUGUUACUAUUUGUGGACGGACCAUAGUAUUUGGAAGAGAAAACAAAACUGCAGUAGGGUAGCUUAUCUAAAAAAAAAAACUGAGAUUAGCGUAAGGGGGGAAGUGCUUUUACUCAUCGAGCAAUUAAGGGAGGUUGAUGUUUUUUCCAAACUAGAGUGAUGUGAGUGUCUUUUAAUAAAAUCUUAGGGGAGGUGAGUGAAAUUUACUCUUAUUAUUAGUAUUUUAUAGAAGGGGGUACGAAUAGAAUUUCUUCUCAACACCAGGGUGUGGAUAGAAGGUUUGCUGAGUAAAAACAAUAUCUCCGUAUACUGGGCUGGAAAUGACCCAAUGAAGGAGUUUCCCCAAUUUAAAUAACUGACUGCAGCAGAAAGAAGGAGGUACAGAAAGUAUACUGGUUCUUGUCUACUUUUUCUAUUGAUUCAAGUUCUAAAAACAAAAGUUAUUCACUUACUCGUCCAUAACUAAAAUCUUAGUCUCUAAAUACUCAUAGUAAACUACUAUUAUUUCAUAUUACUCCUAAAUCAAAUAAGUACAUGUAAAUUUUCACACCAUAACAAAUACACAUAUGAGGAAAAAGAAUCACAAUAUUACUAAGAUACCAAGAUAAUUAUUUAUAAAAUAAAUAAUUAAAUACGAUGAUAGAUGAAAAUAAUUAGAAUGAAAUAUGUACACUUAUUAUUAAUUCACACAAAGUCACAACAAUAAGAAAGUUAUAUGUACAAAUAAAAUCACCUAAAAUAGUAACGAAAGAUAUAUACGACAAACAUAUAUUUUGAUAUAUGGAAAUUUAUUAUGGUAAAUUUGGGGUGUUACAGAGGACACUCAUAAUCGGCCUUAGAGGUGGAGGUUACAAGUGAAAGAUAUACUGAGAAUGCAUUUGAAAGUGGAUGUGGAGAAAUCUUAGCUUGAGGUGGAGUCUUCCACAAUUGGGAUUAAAAGGAAACAAAUGGUGGCAUCAGAAUGAUGCAACUAUGUAGUCGUUGUGUGUUAUCCUCUAGUUGAGAGCAAUAAAUUGUUCGAAAGGCAGAUAUACGCAUUUAAGGGGUUGAAGAAAGUAUGGAAUAACUAAUAGGAUUACGUAAAAUCCAAGGGUAAUUGAGGCAAGUGAAUCUUCAAGAGUGAGAAAAUGAUCACUCCAAAAGUUGAAGAGGUUAUGGUGAAGUAACUAAACAUCAUAAGGUAGUUGGUAAGAAAGUGAGUCUCCUCGAAUUUGGGUAUGUAUAAUCACUCUAGGUUGGUUGUUUCUAAUUUUGCUCCACAUAUCACUAGACACUUUGUAUUCAUUUCAACAAUAUCUGGCAUAUGCAAGUGUUCAACGUGUCUUCAAACUCCUUCUUUCAAUGCAGUUUUUACCUUUAUACUGGGCUGAGCUAUACAAGUGUUAGUUUGUAUUUGAUCAUGAUACAAAGUCAUGCUAGGAGUUUAAAGUCUCGUAUACAUAUUGUUACAAAUAAAAUUUUAAGUCAAAAGUUUAAAAUAAAAUUGAUUAUAUACAAGAUAAUAUAAAAAUUCUCAGUGGAUAGAAUUACAUUCAUUAGAUGUUCUUGGCUUUUCAUGAUAUAGUUUAAGAACAUGCGUUUUUCUAUCACAACUACUUUACCAUUUAUGGGUGUUUAUCAAAGCCACAUACUGAACUUCAAAUCCCCCUUAUAACAAGAGGAAAGACUUUCUUCACAUGAAUCAGUUAUACCAAUGAGUGAGUGACAAUACACAACAAAGGAUAUUUGAAGAUAUAAACCAGAGAUUUAGAGGCUCUUUUUGGGUUUCUUUAAUCCUGAGAAAUCAAUUUGUUUUAACCGGGACAUUCGUCUUUACUGUUGUUACAAAAUAAAGAGGAAGAAGAAGUUACUUGUGAUACAAGUAACUUGAGCAAACCCUAACAAACUUCAACAUGCCAGCUGUAUUUCUGUUAUGACCAGUUAGAGGAGUUGUGUUACUAUUUAGUUAGUGUAUGAUGGAUAUAAUGUACUCUCAUUAGCUUAUAAAUAGGUGCUUGUACAUUGUAACAGAUUCAUUCAUUCGAUAAUACAUUUUUCCCCUUUCUAUUCACUUUACUUCUCUCAUUUUGAGUUUCUUAUUAUGGUAUCAGAAGCCUUCUCUUUGGAGAAGGUGGUUACGAUUAAGUUACGCAUCAUUUCCGCAAUGGAUGCGUGAUUCUCAAGCUUUCUCAAGCUAAUUUCUUCUUCUUCUUCAAUUUUUCUUUCUUGUUGAAGAUUCUUCAAUCUUCUCUACUUUCUUUUCGUUUUUCCUUGUGUUGAUUCCUGAAUCUUCCAUUCUUUUUUUAUUCUUCACCGAUCAAAUGAUGGUGCGUAAUCAAGAUCCAACACAAGAUCUCUCUUCACCUUACUAUGUUCAUCCCAGUGAUGGACCUCAUUCAGUUUCAAUCAAGCCUCAGUUGAACACGUCCAAUUAUCAAGCUUGGGCGCGUGCUAUGCGUAGAGGUCUUGGUGGCAAGAACAAAUAUCAGUUUGUAGAUGGAACAAUUCCUCCUCCUACAUUUGAUGAUUUGAAUUUUUCUGCAUGGGAAAGAUGCAAUAAUCUCAUUCACUCCUAGAUUAUGAACUCUGUUUAUGAUAAUAUUGCACAGAGUAUUGUGUAUAUUGACAACGUUUAUGAUGUUUGGAAAGAGUUAAAGGAGCAUUUUAGCAAAGCUGAUCGCAUUCUUGUUUGGAAGCUCAAGUCUGAGAUCAAUAAUCUCAAGCAAGGUACUAGUUUUGUCAAUGAUUAUUAUACUGAAUUGAGAUCCCUCUGGGAAGAGUUUGAUAGUCAUAGACCUACACCUUCAUGCGUUUGUCCUCAGAGAUGUGUAUGUGCUUCCAUUCGAAAUGUUAAAAAAUUUAGACAUGAGGAUCAAGUGAUUCAGUUUUUGAGUGGUCUUGAUGACAAUUUUUCAAUUGUUCGCACUCAAAUUUUGCUUAUGAAUCCUUUACCCCCUCUCAACAAAGUGUAUUCAUUAGUGGCUCAAGAAGAGAGUCAUGAAGGUAUUGAUGUUGUUGAUGACAGUAAAGUUUUGGUUAAUGCUGUUGAAUCCAAGAAACCAUAUGGUAGAGGUAAGGGAUCCAUUCCUCAGGGAAGGAAAGGUAGCAGACAAUGCAGUCUUUUCUUGCCUUAAUUCAAUCAUCUAAGAUUGCAUCUCCUCAGCAUAUGGUAAAUCAGGUCAGCACUUCAGUUUCAACUGGUCAUACAUCAAUUGAAGCUUCUACAUCAGGUAAUGCUUAUUGUUCUUUACCUAUUUCACAUUGUCUGGUCUGUGUUAAAACCAACUCUUGGAUAUUAGAUUCAGGAGCAAGUGAUCAUAUUUGUUCCUCUUUGAAAUGGUUUACUACAUAUUAUACCAUUGAGCCUACCAAUGUUAAACUUCCAAAUAGUAAUAUUGUUGUCACAAAUAUAGCAGGCACCAUCAAUCUCACACCCCAUUUGGUUUUACAUAGAGUUUUAUACCUCAAAGAUUUUUCCUUUAAUUUGAUUUCAGUAUCAAAAUUGUGUUCCAGUUCAAAUUGCAUUUUGCAUUUCUUUGAUAAACAUUGUGAAUUUCAGGAUAUGACCUAUCACAAGAAGAUUGGUUUGGCUGAUCUAUGUGAAGGAUUGUACAAACUGAAGCUUGAAGAUAGCAUUCCAAGGGUUAUGUCUGUCUCUAUUGCUGAUCCAAAUAUCAUUCCCUCCACAACUCUUUAGCAUUAUAGACUAGGGCAUUUAUCCCAUUCUAGAUUAGCUAUUAUGAAUAAACAGUUUCCUUUCUUGCAAACUGAUCCCACUUUAGUAUGUGAAACCUGUCAUUUUGCUAAGCAAAAGAAACUUCCCUUUUGUAUAAGUACCAAAAGAGCUAUCAAUAAAAUGGAUAUUUUGCAUUUUGAUAUUUGAGGUCCUUUAUCCAUUAAGUCUAUUCAUGGUCAUAGUUAUUUCUUGACCGUUGUUGAUGAUUAUAGUAGAUUUGUAUGGAUCAUUUUAUUAAAAUCAAAAUCAGAAGUUCAAAUACAAGUUCAAAAUUUUAUACUUUUUGUAGAAAAUCAAUUUGAAUGUAAAGUCAAAAUUUUCAGAAGUGACAAUGGUCCUGAAUUUGAUUUACAACAAUUUUAUGCUUUAAAAGGGAUUUUGCAUAAAAAAAAAAUCAUGUGUUGAAACUCCCCAACGAAAUGGGUGAGUAAAAAGAAAGCACCAACAUAUUCUUAAUGUUGGAAGAGCUCUUCUUUUUCAAUCUAAACUUCCUAAUUUUUUUUGGUCAUAUGCUCUUGUGCAUGCUACCUACAUCAUAAAUAGACUUUCCUCUUCAAUUUUAAAGGACAAAUCUCCUCAUCAACUUCUUUUUAAUCAAAAUUCUGACUUUGAUAGUUUUAAAGUUUUUGGUUCAUUAUGCUUUGCUUCAACUCUUUGUUCUCAUAGAACUAAACUUGCUUCUAGAGCAAGAAAGAGUGUUUUUCUUGGUUAUAAAACUGGUAUCAAAGGAUUCAUUAUUUUUGAUUUGCAUACUAGACAAAUUUUCAUUUCCAGAAAUGUUGUUUUUUAUGAACAUAUUUUACCUUAUGAAACUGAUUCUGAAAAUCAACAUUCCCAUCCUUCUGACCCUGAAUUUACUAUUGAAAAAUUGCCAAUAUCUGUCCCACCUGUAGAGUCUCAUAAUCAUGAUUCCAUUUUUGACUCUCCUUCCAUCAUUCCUACUGAUCACAAUGAUCUUCCUAUUCUCAAUCAAAAUCCUCCUAUACCUAAUAUACCUGAUCCCAUAGAUGUUGUUGAGCCUGUUCCUGAUAUUAAAAGAUCAGAAAGAGUUAAAACCAUUCCUGCUAAACUUCAAGACUAUGUUUAUAACUCCUUCACCGAUCAAUCAACUUCAUCUUCUUCAGGUAGUCUAUAUCUCUUGUCUAAUUUUACUUCUUCUCAUAAUCUUUCUUCUUCACAAUCACACUUCACUUUAUCUGUCACGUCACACACUUAGCUCAAAUCAUAUGAAGAGGCCCUGCAAUCUAAAUACUGGGUUGAGGCUAUGAAUGUUGAGAUACUGGCUUUAGUAAAGAAUGGUACAUGGAAAUUGGUUGAUUCUCCUCCCUAAAUCAAACCCAUAGGAAGCAAAUGGGUAUUCGAAAUCAAAUAUCAUUCUGAUGGCACCAUUGAAAGGUACAAAGCCAGAUUGAUUGCUAAAGGGUAUAGCCAUAUUGAAGGACUUGACUACUUUGAAACUUUUUUCCCUGUAGCAAAAGUCACCACUGUUAGAAUGCUACUUUCUUUGGCCUCAAUCAAUAACUGGUUUUUGCAUAAGCUUGACGUGAAUAAUGCUUUUCUGCAUGGUGAUUUACAUGAAGAUGUGUACAUGGAACUCCCACAAGGUGUUCAUUCUUCUAAAUCUAAUCAAGUCUGCAAGUUAAAAAAAGUCCCUUUAUGGUUUGAGGCAGGCCAGUAGAUCAUGGUAUGAAAAAUUAACCCUAUUUCUUACCUAGCAAGGCUAUACUCAGGCUUCUGCAGAUCACACUCGUUUUGUGAAUGCUUCCAAUGAUACAUUCACUGUCUUAUUAGUGUAUGUUGAUGACAUCAUCUUAGCUGAAAAUUCUUUACCAGAGAUCACAAGAAUCAAGCAUUUACUUGAUUCAUCUUUUAAGAUCAAGGAUUUGGGUAAAUUGAAAUACUUCCUUGGACUUGAAGUUGCUUACUCCAACAAUGGCAUAUCUGUUUCUCAAAGGAAAUACUGUUUAGAUUUGCUCAAUGACUCUGGUUUAUUAGGCUCUAAACUUGUUUCCACACCUAUGGAUUCAUGUAUCAAGCUGCACCAUGAUGGGGGGAAACCCUAUGAAGAUAUUUACUCUUAUAGAAGGCUUGUAGGCAGAUUGAUAUACCUGACAAACACAAGACCAGAUAUUUGCUUUGUUGUUCAACAGCUUAGUCAAUUUCUAUCUGCACCAACAAAGACUCAUUACAAUGCAGCAUGUAGGGUAGUUAGAUACUUGAAGAAUUCACCAGGAAAAAGGCUUGUUUUUUCCUAAGUCAUCACAUAUACAACUUUUAGGGUUCACUGAUGCAGACUGGGCAAGCUGUGUUGAUACAAGGAGAUCCGUAACAGGUUUAUGUUUCUUUCUUGGCUCCUCUCUAAUAUCAUGACGCACUAAAAAGCAAAGCACAGUGUCUAUAUCUUCCAGUGAAGCAGAAUACAGAGCACUCUCAGCUGCAGCUUGUGAAAUGCAAUGGCUGAUCUAUCUUCUCAAAGACUUAAAAAUUCAGAAUACUAAGCUUCAUGUAUUGUAUUGUGAUAACAGAAGUGCAUUACAUAUUGCAGCAAAUCCAGUGUUUCAUGAAAGAACCAAACACUUGGAAAUAGGCUGCCAUUUUGUUAGGGAUAAGGUAUAAGAUGGAACUAUGAAGCUUCUUUCAGUUUCAAGUGUAGAACAAGCAGCUGACUUCUUCACUAAACCACUGCAUCCUAAGCCUUUUCUUACUUUGUUAUCCAAGCUUGGCAUGGUAGAUAGAUACCAAGCUCCAGCUUGUGGGAGGCUGUUACAAAAUAAAGAGGAAGAAGAACUUACUUGUGAUACAAGUAACUUGAGCAAACCCUAACAAACUUCAAUAUGCCAACUGUAUUUCUGUUAUGACAGUUAGAUGAGUUGUGUUACUAUGUAGUUAGUGUAUGAUAGAUAUAAUGUACUCUCAUUAGCUUAUAAAUAGGUGCUUGCACAUUGUAACAGAUUCAUUCAUUCAAUAAUACAUUUUUCUCCUUUCUAUUCACUUUACUUCUCUCAUUUUGAGUUUCUUAUUAACUGUGAACCAGAAAAUCUGAAUUUAUGGAAAAACUUUUAAGAACAUUUUGUCAUCUACUUACAUUGUUAUUAUUAAAAUCAAAACUAGUGAUUAUUGUUCUUCAGACCAAAUUGUUUCUUUGGAAGACCACCUCUUUACUACAUGCGAGUUUUCAUGUGCAGUGUGGUAUAAUAUAUUCAGUUAGUUUGGAAUCAAUAUCAAUAUGCAGUAAUGCUGAAGGACCCUUUCUAUUGCUUGAAUGUUUUUGCUUCCAAUUUCAACAAGGGGAGGGGUCGAAAGAAAUAUUGCUAAUAUGGAAUUCAGUAAUUUGGGAUAUUUGGAGUGCUAGAAAUGAAUAGAUCUCCUUCUCCAAGGUACCAUUGGUAGAAGAGGUAGUAAAUUUAAGUUAGUGUUUGUUGUGGAAAUGGCUGUUGGCAAAAAGAAAUGGGGGUACCUGUUUAUUCUUUGAAUGAUAUACCAAUCCGUUAAAUUGUAUUGAAUUCUAAGGUAAUUUUUAUCUCCAAAUCUAGUAAGAAAUUCUUAACAAAAAUCGUGCUACGAUACAGAAGCAACGUGCCAUAAUUGUUGAAGAAGUUCCUGAAGCAAGUCACAAGAAAAUCGUGUCAAGAUGGAAUCGUAACAGGGCACAAUGGGACGCUGAAGACGAAAACAGAAACGUAUUUUCAGUGCAGAUUUGUUCCAAAUUUUAAGGGUUACUUUUACUAUAAAUAUAGACAUUGUAUCAAAUGAAAAAGUGUGUAGAAAACAAGGUUUAGAAGUCAACAUAAAAACUAGGGUUUAUAGAGAAUUCUCUUGGCAACAAACACUAGGGUUGGGAUUGUUUUUGAUUCACCUUGAACAAAAUACCGUUAGAAUUGAGUCUCUUGGUCACGGGAAGAGAUUGAGACUUGGGUAAAAUUAGGUUUGAAGACUGAUUCUUGUAACCCUCAAUAUCUCUUUGUAAAGAAACUCAUAUCAUUAUAGUGGAACAGAGAGCUUCUCUCUCCCCCAGAGUAGGUCAUUAUUAGACGAACUGGGUAAACAUAUUCUUGUGUUCUCCUUCUUCCUUUAUCUCCUGCUGUUUAUUUUGUUUGAAUUAUAUUGUCACCCGCUUGAUUUGAUUGUUUAGUUUUAAUUUGUUCAACGCAUCAAGGUUUUAUUGGUGUGUUUUUCACAACGAAUUCACAACUGUUUUUAACAUAUACGCAAAAAAAAUCAUUCAAAAAGAUAUGUUAAUUUAACAACAGAAACUAAAUAUUGUUGUUACUAACCAAGUUGUUUGGGCUCCAGUGGCAAGGAGCUCCUUCCAAGGACGUGUCCGGGGAAUACCGGGUUGGAUUUCCAGGGGGAACAACGCUUGGUCAAUGCGCAUGCCUCUACACACGAGCCGGAUUAGUCGCCCACCUUUGGUGGAUCGAAAACCGGUGCGAAAGCCAAAAAAAAAAUAUUGUUGUUACUAAAACAUGCAUUUUUUCAUGCGGACGAAAAAAUGAUUGCAUUUUUUCAUGCAGACGAAAAAAUGAAAUUUGGUAAUUUUGUAGCAAUGACUUAACCCUUACUUUUUUUUGUUACCACUUAAUUAUACCAUUAAAUCCGUAAUAUAUGAGAAUUGCUAUUCCCACAUUUGAUAAGGCUGAGAAACAAGAGUAAAAUACGUUUUUGCCGAGGAAUUUAACAUCCGGCUGCAGUUAACUGUCGAGAAAAAUGUUAUAAGAACAGAACAGACAUAGGAGUUUCCAAAACUCCAUUGUUAUGUUUUUUGAUCUCGAAGGUGCGAUUUUGAGCUAUUUCAAGUCAUUCCAAGCCAAUUUCAAUCACCAAAACAAGUAGGUUUUUUUAAUCCUAUUGCAUUGUUGUUUUGCGGUUAAAUUGUUUAUUUUUUUUUUUGUUGUUAAAUUUCAAUUAUAUAGGUUCGACUAUAUUGAUUUGUUGUUUUUUUGAUAUGUUAGGAUAGUUUAGGUUAGAAUGGUUAGAAUUGUUAGAGAACUUUUAUUGAAUUGUUAGAUUUAGGUUUUGAUGAAUCGUUGUAGAAUUGUUUAGGUUUAGGUGUAGGUUUUGAUGAUAGUUUAAGUUUAGGUAUAGUUUUUGAUUUUACGAUUUUAUGGCAUUGUUGUUUAGUUAGGUUUUGAUUGCCAUUUUUUUUAAUGUAGAUAUGUCUCAGAAUCAGAAUCAGGGUAAUAUUCAGGGUGAUGAGAAGAACAAAGAAAAAUCGUCUAUGACGUGGCACGAAAUUGUUUGUGAUGGUUCCGAAAAAAAGAAGGGUUCGAAGGUGCCGGUGUACAAUCAUUCGAGGUUGAGGAGGAGCGGGAGGACAUGCUAUUUUGGUCCUCAACAAAAACAAGGUGCCCCAGGGAUUGUAGGGGCAACCCGAUUGACUUGUGUGACAAGGAAGAAUGAAUGUAAUGGCUUUUAAUGCCUAAUUGUUUUGGAAUUUUUUGUUUUAUUUUUGUGUCGCGCACAUUUUGUUUGACAUUAUGGUACUUAGAAUAAAAUCGCAUUUAGAAUAAUUUCGAUUAAAGUCGCGUUUUGAAAAAUUGCGUAUUCGAAUAAAAACUAAUUAAAUCUAACGUGAAUUCAACUAAUUAAAAUUGCGUAAUGAAUAAAUAAAUUCGAAAAGUGAAUAAAUAAGAUAAUUAUUGUUCGACUCAAAACAAAAUAUAUGUUAUCAUAUUACAUUGCAUUACAUUACAUUCCGGAAUGUACCUUCCAACUGCAACAAUUAUCUUACCACUGAAUGGGGCAAAUUCAAACUUGCUAACCAGCAGGACUCCAGUAUUCGAUCAGCAUCUUGAACGCUGGUAUUCAAGUGUCAAAAGAAUGAGGUGCAUUCCUUGACACUUGAAUACCAGCGUUCAAGACACUUAUCGAAUGUUGAAGUCCUGCCGAUUAACAAGUUUGAAUUGCCCCAUCCAGAGGCAGUUGGAAUGUGCAUUCCAACUACAACAAUUGUCUUACCUUUGAAUGGGGUCAAUUCAAACUUGCCAAACAACAGGACUCAAACAUUUCACCCGGCAUUCAUGUUUUCCUUUGAAAAAAAUAAAUUUUUGUUAGGCUUGCUUUAGAUGAUGGUAUUCAAUUGCCAACGAAAUGAAGUUCAUUCCUUGACACUUAAUACCUUCAUCUAAACCAGCCUAACAAGAAUUUAAUCUUUUCAAAGGAAAAACAUGAAUGCCGAGCGAAAUGCUUGAGUCCUGGCCGUUUGACAAGUUUGAAUUACCCCAUUUCAGAGGUAAGACAAUUGUUGCAGUUGGAAUGCACCUUACCUUAACUAAUGACGAUCUUCUAGCGGAAUCAAGCUUUUGAUGAUAUCUUCAGUUGAUCUCAGCAACGUCACCCGCAUAUCGAUCCACUGGAACAUGCUGUGCUCCCAAAACAUGCUCGUCACGUUUUCGUCGCUCGUUAAUUCCACCCAAGUGAAUGAUACUCUCCCCUCGUCGAGCGUUGGACGUUUAUACCGAACGUGUUCCACCCUCCUUGUGUCUCUAGGGUUGACUCAUUGGUUGAAUUCAGUCAGUUCAUCCUUGAGACCUCUUAAUGUUACACCAAGGCACCGAACCUUCAACCUCUGAGGUUCUCCGCCGUCGAAUUGUGCAUGAACGUCGAUCCAUCCGGCCUUUGUUUCAAAUCUACGCAAUAAGAAAUUAAAAAAAAUCGAUGAAAAACUCAUUCAAACAUUUCAUCAAACACUUGAUGUGCAAAUUAUACAUAGACUCUAAAAAUCAUAAAAAUAACCCUAAAAUUAUAAAUCAUAUACUCUUACUAAAAUAAAAAAAUUAAUCAUAUACUAUGACAUAAAUCAUUCAACUUAUGUUUAACAUAAAUUUUUUUGUUAUAACGUAAAAUAUAAAAAAAUUAUUUAACUUAUAUUUACUCUUAAAAUAAAUCAUAUACUUUUACUAAAAUAAAAAAAUAAAUAUAAAACACCAAAUUAAAAUAUAACCCUAAAAUUUUAAACUAUAACAUAAUCAUCAUGCAAACAUUUUAACUAAAUUAAUCCACUGACAUCUAAUCUAAAAAUGAUUUAUAACAUGUAAAUCUACUCAAAAACUAAAAAAUAGUAAAUCUACUCAAAAACUAACAAAUAAAAACAUUUAUAAUAACUAAAAUGUAAGUUAAUAACAUUAUAAUUACUUACUUGUGAUUUUGUUGAAUAAAUUUGGUUGGAUUUGGUUGGGGUUUUUAGAGAGAUUCGUGAGAGAGAUUUGAAAUUUUGGAAGAUGAGAUGAGAUGAAUAAUGGAUGAGAGAGCUUCUGCCAGAUUUGUAGUAGAAAAUCUUCGGCAGUUAACUACCGAGGUUUUCCUCGACAGUUAACUGCAGCCAGUUAUUAAAUUCUUCAGCAAUUAACUGCCGAGGAGUCAAAAACAUAUUUUACUCGUGUGUCUUAGCCUUAUGCAAUGUAUCAAUGGUAAUUCUCGUAAUAUAUUGUACGUAUGAGUAAGAACACUCAAGCAAUAUAUUUUACGAGGCCUAGCUAGCUAGUGUUCCAUUCCGGCUACUAGUAAUAUUUUCAUGAGUCUAACAAAUUAAUCAAUAACAUUUCCAGAAAAAGAAUCUGACCACCCUGGAGUGUGAAGAGUCCAAUAGUAGUAGCAUCAAUUUUUUUUAAUAUUUUUUUAACGAUAAAAUUUAUUAAUAACUAAAUAUCUGCACAAGACGAAUAACAUUGAGAAAAGCUCAAAGUCUCAAAUCGGAUAGAUAAAAUUUUAUAUAAGAGUUUAUAAAGAGGUGACACGUUUCACCUUAUGAGCCGAUUUUAUAAGAAUGAGUUAUGCUCAAAAUUUCAACAUGGUAUCAGAGCUUGUCAAUUAAAGGGCCACCAACCUUUCCACGCACCAAGCCUAAAGAGUGCUGGGCGUGAAAAUGAUGUAUUAUGAAAAACUCAAAUCCCACUUCGGAAAGAUAAGAUUCUUGAUAAAAGCUUAUAAAUUAGAGGUGGCAUAUGAGCCGGUUUUGUAAGGAUAAGUUAGACCCCAAAUUUCAAUAUGGUAUCACAUCUUGUCAAUUCAUGGGCCAUCUACCUAUCCACACACGUGCUCGGCGUAAAAGAGGUGUAUAUUGGGAAAAACCUAAGUCUCACUUCAAAUAAUACUCUUGAUAAAGAGGUGACACUCUUCACCUUAUGAGCCGGUUUUGUAAGGAUGUGUUAUGUCCCAAAUUUCAAGAUGGUAUCAAAGCUUGUCAAUUCAACGGUCAACUAUUUAUCCAUGCACCAAGCUCAAAACCCAAGUCAUACAUCGGAUAGAUAAGAGUUUAAAGUCCUACAUCAGAUAGAUAAGACUUUUGAUAAAAGUUUAUAAAGAGGUGGUGUUCCUCACCUUAUGAGUCGGUUUUAUAAAGAUGAGUUACACCGCAAAUUUAUAAAAAAAAAAAAGAAAAAUGUUAGAUAGACACCAU